UUCUAUAAGGUUGAAUAAAAAUUCGAUUGACCAUUUGAUAUAAUUGCUAUGCUUAGUGUGUGACUCGUGGGUUUUGUUAGGGUUAGGAUUAAAAAAACCCAGCCCACAUAGUAUGAACUAAAAACUAUAGAACUAAUAACCAACCCAUCACUUCGCAUUAUCUGGAUCUAAAGAACCAGUCAAGAUAUGAUAUAUAGGUCAUAUCUUUGUAGCAACUGAAAUCUUUUGCAUAAACAAAAAAAUCUGCUUCUAAGUUGUAAAGCAAAAUAGACAAAAAAGAUGUGGAUAAAGGGAAGGAUGAGAGAAAGAGAGAAAAAGAAUAGCCCAUUUAUACAGAAUGGUAAAGGGGCUUCUAUGAUCAUCGACCAUAGAAAUAGAAAUGAAGCGUUAAUCCUUACCAACUUGAUCUUGUUGCUCCUGGCAACAAACAUGCAUGAACCAUUUCACGAAGUAUGUGUCCGGAUAGGCCAAAGUCUCGAUAGUUAGCUCUCGGCCUUCCGGUCUAGUCAUUUGUACACACUUAAUAAUAAUAAAGUUAUUAACUUUAUAUUAAUGCUUAAGACAUAUUUCUAAAUAUUAUUAAAUAAAAUUGUUAAGAAAAUUCGUACAAGUAUUAUGAUAAUGUAGUAUUAAUGGAUAUACUCAAUUAUAAACGCAAUUGGUUCUUUUCCAAAUACUUACCCAACUUAUACAAUAAUAAUGUUACAGUUGCCUUGCUUCAAUUGAAGAUUUUUUUUUGAAAAAUAAAAAAUAAAAAUUAACAAAAUCUUAUAUAUAAUCAAUAGUAUAAGAAAGAGUACAUGAAUUAGCUCUAUUAUUAAUUAAAAACAAUAUUCGGAAAAUUAAUCAUAAUCUUUGUAUACUUUAAUUUUGCUUUGAUCGACAUCCAAGCACUUAAUUAACAUAAAUAUCGGUUAGUAUCAAAUUAAAGAUACUAUGCCAUUGCAUCGUUAAAAUAUGUUUGAAUUGACCUAAUUUAGAUAUUUUUAACCUAAUAUAAUAAUUAAAUAUUAUUAAAAUGUUAGUAAAUUUUAAAAAAAUAUUUAUGAGCACUUCAAUUUAAGAUAAAUUUAUUAAAAAUAAGCCAAAGUACUUUUAAACUAUAAGUCAAAAAUCAAAAACUAUUUAGAAAGAAAAAAUAUGAAUAAAAUGUUGAUUAGCUAAUUUAUAAAUUUGUAUGUAGAAAAUCAAGCUAAGCGUUUACUCAAACUCCAUAUAAAUAGUCGGAACUCCGAAUCUGAAGUGUGGAGGAGCUCCACGAAAAAUCCGGCGCCGGAGAUGGACCUCGUAGCAACACUUCAGUCGGAACUGGAGACUCUUCGAAGCAGGACGAAGGUAACUUUUGAUAAUUUUUAAAAAAAUCAACUUCUAACAAUAAUUAAUAUUCCAUUAUCGAUGUUUAUUGUGCUGAAAUCUUCUACUGGAAAAAUAGGUUUUGGAAUCUGAAAAUGCUAAAUUAUCUGCUCAGCUUUCGAAUUGCAGUUGCCAAGAGGUUAUUGCUACUUCAACAUAAUAUCCAGAUUUUUUUGAUAAAGUAAAGUAUUCAGAUAUAUUUAUAUUUUUCUAUGUAGAUUUUAAUGUGCUGUUAUUGCUAUGUAGUCAAAGGAGAAAGGUAAUGACUCUGUUCUGAAAAACGGAGUUUUGGAAGGUCACGGAAAGAAGAAAAAUAAGCUCAGAGAUUUAGGUUUGUAUAGAUUUUUCUUUUUGGUGAUUGGAAUAUAUUGCUGUAGUUUUAUAUGCAGCGUGAAAGCCGAAAGGGUGUCUUACAUUAUUUGAAGUGUUAAAAUUAGUGAAGAGAGUGGAUUAGCUGAGUUCCAUUUUAUAAUCAUUUUGUCUGGGCCAGCUUGUGCACACCUGCCACCUUCGACUAGAUAUAGGAAACACCCUUGGUUUAGCUAUGGGUUUUUUUAUGUACUGAAUGACCUAUCGCUUUAUUUUAAGGUGUAAUAUGUCAGCUAUCUUUACAAGUUGAUAUUGUAAUUUGAUUUGGAAACCUGCUGAAAUGUUCCUCUUUCAUUUUUUGAUACUGUAAUUCGAAAUGGAGAUUGCUUGAACGUUCCUGUUUUGUUUGUAGGUUAUGGCGCAAUGAUGCAUCACUCGAAAAGAUAUGUUGCUUUGAAAGUCAUGUAUUUUGGUUUGAGGUACACAUCUUGCUAGUAGUUUAGUAGGAUUGUAUUGUCAAUGUGGCCACUGAAAAGAGAGGAAGGAAGUUGUUAGUUGAGAACAUGCAGAAGACUUUCAUUCUAUUUGUGUAGGAUUGGCUCUUCAUCAGUAGUUACUUAAGUGUGAACUGAAAGUAGAGCAAAAAAGUGUAAGCAAAAAGGCUAAAAGUGGUUUAAAAUAUUUUGGGCAAGAUAAUUGUCAGCUUGCUGAUAAAAAAAUUAUUUUGGACAAGAUAAAAUUGGGCUUCUUACUUGUUCUUAAAUUUCUUUUAGCCCUGUAAAACCAUCUCGUUAGUCUUAAGCACAAGAAUGUAAGGUCUCAAGAGGGACCAAAAGAAGAGAAUAAGCGGUAACAAAGAGAUCACACAAAUUUCAGUGGAUUACUAAAGAAUAAAAUAAGAGGUAACAAAGAGAUCACACAAUUUCAGUGGAUUACUAAAUGUUAAGUUCAUAAACUCUUUAGGGCAUUGCUUUUUCAUCAGACCAUAGAUGUGAAUGUAAUAUAUAGCAUAAGAUUAGGCUAUAAAGGAGGUGUUGACAUUGGAAACAGUUGAAAAGCUAAAUGCACCUGAAAGAAAAAGGGGAAAGGAUACUUGAUUUCCUGUAAAGCUUAUCUUGCAACCUCGACAAGAUUUCUCGUACAGGAGAGUUUAUUUCAGUUUUAAAAGAGCCUCAAACAAGGCAAUACUUAAAACACAGCCCUCUUUAGGUAGCAUGUAAUCUUUAAGUUGGGUUUAACUGCUGAAUACUUUAUAUUUAAGCAACAAAGUUGGUACUUAUUGUUAUUUUUGUCUUAGUUCCCAACAAUAAGAAUAUUACAAAAGAUAUCUUACCCAUUAACCGAACAUCAUCUUGUCUGAUCAUAUUUUGUUAUUUGACAUUUGACUUCAGCCAAAAGUGAGCCACUUAUCAGAAGGCAUUUAUAGUAAUUUCAUGAAGGAGUUCCAAUCAUACUUAGAAAAAAAUUCCAAUUUGAGAUUGGGAAAAUAAAGAAUAAGAAUGCAUGGUUCUAAUUCAUCAGAUAGAAUAUUAAAAGAAGUGGAUUAAUUCAUGGAAUACAUUUUUGAUAUUUUAAUCUGGCGUUACUUCACUUUUGUUAUAGUAAUUUCUUCUACAACAUUUCAUCUAGAAGCAGAGAUGAAGACAUCUAAUGUCACCUGGAAAAGGGGUUAUGUACAACCAACUUAAGCUGCAUCCUGAUCCUAACUCCAAAUGGCCCUGUUAAUAACUCCACAUAGAUUGUCUAGUGGUUCUAUGAAGUUAAGGACGGAGCUCCUUAUUUCAUUCUGGAAUGCUAAUGGUUGGCGGUGGAUCUGUCACCUUUUUUUACCUUAUGCAGAUUAAGUGUGAUUUAAGUAUUAACUAAGCUGAAGGUGCAUGUACAUUGUGUUUCUACCAUCCUAUUUUAGUUGGAGUCUGCAUUUUUUUACUUUAUGCAAAUAUUAGCAAGUCCUUGUUUAUGCGGUAACAGUGUUCUCAUGCUGCAUUACAGGUUUUAUGGUUUUGCUUCGGAGGCUCAAAUGGAUCCCACUGUUGAGGUCUUAUGUUCUCCUCUGAGAUGAUUAUCCUUUUAAGAAUUGGACCAGCAUUUAAUGUGACAGACAUAGACUAACCAAGUACAUGCAACAAUAUGUUCUACAUGUUUGGUCUUACUCCUUGUUUAAAUCAUAGUCCACGUUUCCCGUCCUUUAAAUUGAGAGAUUUAAAGGACUGAAAGACUUAAGCUACUGAAAGAGUUAAUCUGGUGUUUUUCUGGGAGAAUCUUGUUUCCUUGCAUGUAUUGCACAGUUUGAACUAUUUAAUCUUUGCACAAGUUGUUUUGGACUUUUGGUGCCUCUUCACUCCAGUGGUAGCGCUUGGGUGGCUCUAUUGUUCGCAUUUUAGUAUCUCAAUAGAGUAUUUUGUUUGCACAUGCUGAUGGUUUCUUCAUGCAGGGUGAACUUUUCAAAGCUCUAGAGAGGACAAGACUCAUAUUUGGAGACAAGAAGGAAUUGCAAUACUCACGAUGUGGUAGAACCGAUAAGGGAGUUUCCUCUGUUGGCCAAGUAAGUGGAAGAGCAAUUAAUUUCUUGUAUGUUUGUUCACUAAAAGGUAACCUAUAUUUUGACAAUGUUUUUUUUUUUGAUAAUUUGACACAUAUCCCAAGAGAGAAAAUAUAAAGUUUGAUUCUUUUAUCCAUAUAAUUGUUAUUUAUGAUUAUAAUUAUUAUUCUUUAAUUCCUUUUCAUUUCUUUUUCUUCGUUUGCGCCUUCCUUUAUUAAAUCCAGAACUUUAUUUGUGCUUUGGCUUAAAACUUUAAUCUAACUUAUCCCUUUUUUGCAUUUCUCAUCUUUGAUAACACUCUCUUUUAUAUGUCUUUUAAAACAUAUAAAUUACUUGUUGCAGGUGAUUGCUCUGUUCUUAAGGUCAAACCAUAGGGAAUCAAGAGGGGACAAUAAGUAUCCUGGGGAAAAUUCUAUUGAAGAAUCAUGUGGUCUGCUGAUAUCUCCUUUCAAUGUACUACUAUGUUUAGCCUUUCUGAUUGUCAUCUGCCAUGUAUUUACUGAAAUGGGAUUUGGCACACAUCAGUUGCCUUCCGUUUUCCUGACAUUGCCUCUUAUCUUCUUUCUAUGCAUGUUCUGGUAGUGUAGUUUUAUGGCUGUUAGGUGGCCAUCUUUAGAGAUUGAUUGUGUUGGAGUACUUGGAUUGCACUUCGAUAAAUGACCUUGUAUGUUUCACCAAAACCAAGACACAGAUAUUUCUAAUUCACAUUGAUUAUUAAAGAUGUGCAAAAAGAGAUUGAAGCUUCAAAUCUUCCUAAUUCUUUUAGUUAUGGCUUCCCUAAUUUCAAUUUGUUGCUUCCAUUUUUCAGUUAUUACUAACCUUUUGACACAAUUUUUUUACAUUUUCUUCACCUAGGAGAAAUAGACUAUGUAAGAGUACUAAACCGAGUUCUGCCAAAUGACAUUCGCAUUAUGGGUUGGUCUCCUAUUCCAGUUGGUUUCAGUGCAAGGUUUGUACUGCUUUGUGUAACUUAUGCUCCCAGACCCAGUAAUCAUUUAUAGUUAGUGUUUGUUUGUGAAAAGCAUUUAAAAAAUACCCAACUCUUUUCUAAAAUGUCAUGCUUUCUUACAUUAUGUGUACUGGACUUCACAGUAUCACCCUUUUGAUAAUACCUAAGACAGAAAUAUUUUGCAUUUAGCAAGGUGUGGCCUAGUGGUUUCUGAAGUGAGUGCAAACCUUGGAGACCAAGAUCCAAUAGUUGAGAUGAUGCACAAGAUUGUCCGGGCAUCACCAUUACCCAAAAAAAAAGAAGAAACAUUCAAGUAGUAUAUGAGGUUUUGAAUACAAUCCACAAGGUAGGGGUAAGGUUUGCGUACACUUUACCCUCCUCUGACCCCACCUGUGGGAUCACACUGGGUUUGUUGUUGUUGUAGAAACAGGUCAAAUUUAGAAUAAGGGGGAACUCUUAAACCUUCAUACAAGAUCUUAUUAGAGAUCUCAGCUUCUCGUGAAAAUGAGCAAUGCUAAACUCUAUUCGGUAACUUAUCAUAGGCAGAAUUUAUCAAGUUGAUGUUGUCUCGAGGUAUAUUAGGUGCGCUCAUGACUAAACCUGAAAAGAGUAUGUUCGUGGAUCCCCUUGAAGUCAACUUUGGCAUCCUUAUCUCCUAAAAGUUGAGAAGCUAUACCAUAUUUUUUUCAGUUCUUCAUUAUAGUUUUACAGCCUUUUUGCCUUUCAAUAAUGCAGGUUCAGUUGUUUGAGCAGGGUGUACAAGUACUUCUUUUGGCAGGGAAACUUGAAUUUAACAGUGUGUACUUUUCCUUCUGAAAUCAGUUGACCUGGUUAUGCUGAUUUACUCCAAUUUUCAGCUAAACACUCUUGAAUUCUCAACAGGCCAUGCAAACUGCUGCGAAGAAAUUCUUAGGGGAACAUGAUUUCAGAAAUUUUUGCAAAAUGGAUGCAGACAAUGUGCACAACUACCGGCGGCACAUAAUAUCGUUUGAAAUUGUCCCCUUCAAUGAAAGGUUUUCUACUAUUAGCUUGACACUCUGCUUUUUCUACUUUGUGUCCCUUUUUAUACUUAUUCUCUACUUGUAGAGAGAGGGUUAUAAAUUGACCCAUGUGAUCUUUUUGAAGUUUUAUGACGCUUUGACUAUUUCCUCUCCUGAUUUGGUCGUGAUUAUGUAAUUGUUUUCUUUGAAUCGUGGUACUCUUGUUUCAAAAAGUCAAAGAAAGUUGCUACUUUAGGUAGAUAACCGAUGUUAGGAAAUACUAUAUCUGUUCCCAUGAAAGUUGAUAUUAAGGAGUAUUAAGCUAUAUUUGAGAUGGUGUGCGAUGUGAAGUUUGAGAAAUCCUAGAUACUGCUUUCCCCUGAUGGAGUUGUCACCUGACAUACAUUAUGCAGAAGUAUUUGCAAAUACUUGUAAAUAUGCAAUUGGAUAGUUGGUUGGUGAUUAUUUUAUUUUUUAUUUUCCUUCUUUUGGAUAAUGUUGGUAACAUUUUAUGAAUAUCUAGGGAUCUUAAAACUAGCUGAAAUCUGUGUCCUUUUAUCUUCUUUUUGCAUGUGCCUUUGAGUUUUUGGGUAUUUUUCCUUAAUUUUGUAUCAUUUGUCUAGUUAUUUUCAUGUUUGUGUAGUUUUAAGUUUGUUGAUAUGGUCAGUACUAAUUAGGACAAGAACUCUAUCUAAUUUUUUAUUAGCAAUUUAGAGCUGCUUCUACAUGAUGUACUCUUCUGCUCAUCAUCUAAAAUUUCUUACUGAAACCGGCUAUUUGCUUUUUUAAUACUAUCCAUAUACUGAUAUACAUGUUGAAAUGCUUUUCACUCCUCCAUGUAUAUUUUAAUUGUAGAGACAAUGAUGAUCAACUCAUGAUAAUGAAAAUCAAAGGCAGUGCUUUCCUUUGGCAUCAAGUCCGGUGCAUGGUUGCCGUAUUAUUUCUGAUUGGCCAGGGUCUUGAGUCCCCUAAUGUAUGAAAUUCAUGUCCUAACAAUAUUUUCUCUGAAACCUGUUGCUGAAACAUUUCAUUUGAUGUGAUCCAUUUUCUGGAGAACUUAAGAUUUUUCCUUUUGCUUCUUUUAGAACAAUAACUGAAGUUUUGUCAAUCUUGUGAUGAGCAGCUUGUGGAGUUUGACAUGAUUAUAUAUAAUACCAGAUCACUGGUCAACCAAGUCUACUCAACCUUGUUAUAUAAUGCUUUUUGUGUCCUCACCACCGUGUGAGUAGAAUCGGGGUAGUUCUUGUAUGCUUCUUUAAUCUGAUAGACCUUUUUAGUUUGUUCUCAGUCAAUUGAUGCCAUUAAGGUUUGGGCAGGUUGGGCUUUCUGCUCUGUGAAAAGUCUCUUUGAUGACUCAAUCUUAAAAUUAAUGAAUAAACAAGUCGAUAAUUUGCUUAAUCGUGAUUCUACGAUAUAUGUACAAAUGCACACAACCCAUUUUCUAAACACUGCUCGUGUUUCUAUAAUUUUCCUCAACUUCCUAAUUGGACAUAGCUUUCGGGGUUGUCUAUGUAAAGCCUUUGUGUUGAAUGGAUCUUAUGGUGAUUUAUUCUAAUUCAUGUAUCUUACCAUAAGGCAUAUUUCAAUUAUGAAAUCGUAGGUAAUUGAUUUGCUACUGGAUAUAGAAAGAACACCACGGAAACCUCAGUUCCCAAUGGCUCCAGAAAUACCUCUAGUUCUUCAAUCCUGUGAAUUCGAAGGCCUCAAAUUUAUUUGUUCAUCAGGUACUUUAAUGGUAUUUAUAUCCAGAAUUCUUUAGUCUUAUAUCAGUUCCAUUUUUUUUAGGAUCUGUGAAAACAAAAUUUUCUCUGUUUUUAUUUUACGUGAUGUUAGGUAAGGGUAAUCAUGUUCUAAUUUUAUUGUUUCUUAUGGUUCAUUCUCUUUUCCUGGAUCUUGUCAGCAUAUCUGUAUGGGUUAUCAAUUUACCCAUUUUUCCUUAACCUAACCCAGUAUAAACUCAAUGAAUUGCUAUUAGCAGCACUCUAAUCUCACUGAGGAGCUUUGGCACUAUUGCAUUUGUUGAUUUGUAUUCACUGUAGACUGAUGAUAUUGUCAAUUUGAUUGUGAGCUUUCUUUUGUUUUCCUUUGUUUAAUAAAGGAACUUGAUUACGAGUCUGUUAUAUUGAAGUAGUAGUACCAAAUAAUAAACAAUUUCUUUGAAUGGUAUUCAUCAAUAAUUCAUUCUUUUCUGGACUUGUUCCGUUCACCCAAUAUAUAUACAUUCUUUUCUUUUCUUUUAGUGGGUGUAACAACAUAGUGGCCUCUCUUCAAAAAAUUGCUUUUUGUGAUUAUAUAUAAUGUUAAAAAAGAAUGCUUUUGUGAUUAAGAUUCCAUUUUACUCAAGUCCCUCAUCUCCUUUCUUUGCGACUGUUUUUUGGGGGAAAAUAGACAUAAAUAUUUGAUAUUUGUUCUUGGUUGUGUUUUUAGAUAUGUGUGUUCUUUUUGUUAGACAACUUUUAUUGCACUAAUUGGGUAACGUACAAACACUUUUGUGGACAAUUUUCCCAGAUACAAAGCAGGCUUUGAAUGAACAUUUGGAGCGGGAAUGCCGAAGUUAUAAACUUCAAUCCGCAAUUUAUCAUGAAGCUUUGCUAAACUCAUCAUGUAUUGAAAUUGGUAGGUCAUUCAGUACUUGUACUUGAAUUUUUUUGACGUUUUCCACCUACAGCAUAUUUCUAAGCUAUAGAACUUGUUUUUUCUUAGUAAGUAAAUUAAUCCAGAUUGAAUUUUCAAUUUCAGACAACAAUAUAUCAAGUGACCAUACUAAGAAGAAACGAGCUUCCCACAUUCCUCUAUUGUCUCGACCAACUGAGCGUGAGUUCUUCUGGAUCUUUUAUCUCUUAUCAUUCAUUUGAUAAAACUUGCUUGAAUUUGGGACUUUCGACUGUGCUAUAAACAUCAAUAUUAACAUGUUCUUGAAAAAGAGUUAAUGGUCAAAAACACCUCAACUAUCAGUUCUAUGCGAGUUUCAUAUCCCAAUUAUCAAAUGUGAGAUUAUACAUAUACAUGCUCUGAAAAUGGGUCAAAAGGUGUAUUUAUUGUGAUUGCAAAUGGUUUCGUGGAGUAAUAGGAACUCCGCAAAUUUUAGGUAUCUACUUUUAAGAGGUGACCUUGUGUCUUUUGCUUAUUUUCCAGCAUCAUAUGAAGAGCGGCGUAAAAAGUUGGAUGCAUGAGCUGGAAUGGAAUGCCAAGAUAGGAAGUGUAUUAGGGGAGAUGAAAUGAAUGAGUGUUUUCUUUUUUUUUUUUCUAAUUUUAUCUUGUUGUAACAUUAAUUUGUACAUCGUGAUAUGAUUUAUUCUAAUACUAAUGAGUAUUUUCUGUUGCACUUCACUUUAUAUCUGCAACUGGGUUUGUGCAUAAAUCGUAUCAUUAUUGGUGCUAAUUACUCGCUGAAACAACGAAUUUACAUUUUUUCGCCAGUUAACUGUUUCGGAUAUCAAAUAUGCUUUGAUACAUUCAGCAAUUGCCUUUAGUGCAAUUAGUACUGAGUACCGAGUAAAAGAGGGGAGAGACGCGAGCAAGAGAAAAGAAGGAAAUUGGCCGGAAAUUAUUAAGUGAUAAGUGAUUAUUUAAUUAUUUUAAAGGAAAAUUGUAUAUAAUAGCAAACUAUUAAUUCAAAUUUAAUGCUAUAAAUAUACUUUAAUUUAGUUAUACCCUAUAGCAAACUUUAGCUAUUUUCGUCACUCACUCUCCUUAGUGGAAUCUCGCUCAUCACUCUCGUUUGGUGACAGUCUCGCUCGCCUUUCUCGCUUUUUAUAUAAACACAAAUGUAUAAAAUGCGUUUGUGUUUGUAUAAAGCGGGAGGAAAUUGUAUAAAUAUCUAUAUUUUCGCUCCUCGCUCUCCCUUCUCCCAGAUCUCGCUCUCCUCUCUCGCUUAUACAAACAGAUUUGAAACAUAAAUUGUGUUUCUGUUUGUAUAAAGCGAGAGAAGAUUGUAUAUACACAUGCAAAUACAUAUAUUUUCGUCUUAUACACUUAUAAUUAUAUAAUAAAAAUAAUCCCCUGCCCAGUUUCUUUUGUCGUUCUCUCUUUCUCGUUUUAUACAAAUUCAAAUUGUAUAUAAUUUCUCUCUUUCUCGCUUUAUACAAUUCGAUUCAAUUGUAUAUUCCCUGCCCAAGUCUCUUUUGCCUUUCUCUCUUUCUCAUUUUAUACAAAUUCAAACGGUACAUAGUCGUCCUAUACACUUAUGAUUAUACAAUACACAUAUUUUCCUACCCAAGUCUCUUUUUCCUUCCUCUCUUUCUUAUUUUAUACAGUUCACUGUAUAUAAUUUCUUUUUUUCUCGUUUUAUACAAUUCAUUUUAUACAAUUCGCUUCAAUUGUAUAUGUAUAGCGAGUUAUACAUAUAUAUAUAUAUAUAUGUGUGUGUGUGUGUUAUGGAGCACAAUUAUGCACACAUUGCUAUAGUAUACAAAUAUAAAUUUUGUGUUUACUAAAUAUCCCUAAGUAAUUAGUUAAUAAGGAUAUAAUGCAAUUUAUUUACUCUCAAUAAUUAUAGUUUCAUUUUUUUGCUAUAAUUAAUGGGACUCAUUUUUUAUAAACCCAACUAUAAAAUACUUUUUUAUGCUUUUAUAUAAUUUUAUAUAAAAUUAAUUUUUUCUCUGCAAUCCCUUUUUCAUAUCUUUUUCCUAAAAUUACUCUUAUACUCUUAUUUUGAAUUUCUAAUUUGGAUAAGUUACCACCGGCAUGACCGCUUUGAAAGUGUAAAUAACAUGAGACCUUUAUCCAUAGACUUGGAAUCGCGGUGUAAUGUGGCCAAUAGUAAACUAAAUCGUAUACAUGUCUUGCAAACUUCCCUUGAAGGAUUACCUUGUUUAAGAAUCCAUCUGGAUUGUUUGGACAUGUCACAAACUCAAUGAAAUUUGUACUAGUACUAUCCUUGGUUUUGUUUUUCCACUAAACUCAUACUUCUUCGAAUUCAAUAGCUUUGUUUUUUAUUUGUAAACAUUGAUUCAGAGGAGAUUGAAUAUGCGUCAUCAGAAUUGGACAAAUCUGAAGAACAUCAGGUAAUGUAAUUUAUAUAUAAAUUACAAAAAAAAUUAUGUACAUAGUGGGUUGUAUAUUAAGGUAAUAUAUACGAACUAAAGUUAUUUGUAUAUAUAUUCUAUUGUACAAGUAUUGUUUGAAGGAGUAAUAAUGCAGCCCAUUUUGUAAGGCCCAAAAACAUUUGGUUUGAAGAUUAGAAGAACGUGGAAACGGCUAAACUUUUGGCCGGAAAUGGCAAUUUGUGCUUCUGGUCCGUCCGGCAAAAUAGAUAAAACACUACCGGAGAUCAAUUUCCGAACAGCCGCUGUUCCUCCGGCCAACCUCCGCUCGUACUUGAGUUGUAAGUUUCUUCGUUGUACUCUCUUUUCUGUAUUACACUAAUCCUAUAAUUUGCUGCAAUGCAUUCUGUAAUUGUUAACUUUGUGUUUUUUCAUGAUUAUUCGCUUCUCAUAUUAGUCAAUUUUAUGAAAAACUCCUCUUAUAGCAUUGUCAGCACUUGUAAAAUCGUCCAAAAAAAGCAUUUUUAGUGCUUGUUAUAUAGUUUUAAGCUAUGUUACUCAGGCUCGCAAAAGAAUCAUAUGUUCCAAAAAUGCUCUACUUUUGGAGGAUCCGAUACGCACUUACCAACAUUUUUGAAGAGUAUGAAGAACAUAAGUUGUUAUGAUAUUAUUCCAGGGAAUGAGACUUGAAUGCGACACCGACUUAAUUGGGAGCUGAUGUGGGGCUUAUAUUACCUUGGACUCUCCCACUUCAGUAGCUUCAAUUUUCAACCAUCUCAAAUCAGUUAAUAUUAAAUAUUUCAAAAAUUUAACAAAGUUCGUAUAACUCAGGAUCCUAAUUUGUUUGUUCAGGUAUUAAUAUCACUUUAGUAAGAAUAGGUGUGUAACAGGUCGUCAUUCUAGUGUGAGCGUGAGGUCGACUUUUUGGGAAAAGUUUAGGGCGGAAUCUAUGUCUUUUUCCUAUUUCUAAUAUCCAAUUUAGUCCAUGUCUCCAUCAAUACAUCCAUUUGAGUUAAAAACUACUAUGUAAGGGAACAUGAUCUUUUUUGGUUGACUGGUAGUUUAGUAAACAAUCUUUGUCUGUCAAGAUCUUAAGUUACAUCAUGAAACGGUUGCAGUACUUACAAAUAAAGUUGUUAGUGCCUUAGUAUGUAAUAAUGUUUCUUUUUUCGUCAGACAUGCUUCCAAAUUUGUAAGGUCGACAGAAUCAGCUUGUUAAAAAUUUUACAUCAGCUGCAAGCAAUGCUACUUUGAGAACGAUUUGUCUGUGUAUCUUUUGAUUGGAUCAUGUAACUGCAAUGGUUUCUGAUUUGUCAUAUAUUUUAGUGGCAAAUUUUGUUUUGAGGCUAUUACACUAUUUUCCUUCCUCAUUCUUUGGUAUUUCUGGGUUUGUUUGUGCAGAUUCUAGUAUAAUGUUCUAUUAUUUCCAGGAUACAAUGUCAUAAUACUUAAUUACUCGUUGUUUUCUGGGUAGUGUUAUCUUUAUGACACGCUCCUUACGAAAAGCUAUCACAGUUUGCUCUGUCUUCCGAAAAAGCUACUCUUCCAUUCUUGCUGUCGCUUCAAAUGCCAUCAGAUUGACCUACAAUAGCACAUAUGUUCCGCUAUAUUUGGGAAUGGAGUCCUCAAUUUCAUAUGAAAACUAUAAACCAGGGGGUGUGAUGUUUUCUCGACAGUUCAGUUCCAGGAGAGAGUCAGAGACAUUAUCUUGGGGAGUAUCAUCUGACGUUGUUUUGCUGGGAAAGCUUGAAAGUGCAUUGAGGAAUCACAACUUGGAAGAGGCUUGGGAAACCUACAAGGAUUUCAAACGUCUUUACGGUUUCCCUGACCCCUUUCUUGUAGAUAAGCUUCUCACUAAGUUGUCGUACUCAUCUGAUUCUAGAUGGCUUAAAAAGGCAUGCAAUAUAGUCGGAUCUAUUUUGAAAGAGAAAAGGGAGAUGCUACGCACAGAGUUAAUGACCAAGCUCUGCCUAUCGUUGGCUAGAACUCAAAUGCCCAUUCAAGCAUCAUCAAUUCUCAGACUGAUGUUGGAGAAAGGAAAUCUCCCACCUAUUGACAUGCUAGGGAUGAUAAUAUUUCACAUGGUGAAGUCUGAUACUGGAAUGAUUGUGUCAUCAAACAUUUUGAUUGAGAUAUAUGGUAGCUCUCAUCAAUUAACUACAAAGAAAUCCACUGAGUUAAAUAAACAUAAUACACUUCUUUUUAAUCUUGUUCUUGAUGCUUGUGCAAGAUUUGGAUCAUCCAGUAAAGGCCAUCAGAUUAUUGAGUUAAUGGCCCAAGUUGGAGUGACAGCUGAUGCUCAUACUAUUUCAAUUAUUUCCUUGAUCCAUGAGAUGAAUGGUAUGCGGGAUGAAUUAAAGAAAUUUAAGAAGCAUAUAGAUCAGGUUUCAGUUCCAUUAUUUUCCUGCUAUCAGCAAUUCUAUGAAAGUCUCUUGUGUUUACAUUUCAAGUUUAACGAUAUUGAUGCUGCUUCUAAUCUUGUACAAGAUAUUUAUGGAUUUCAAGUGUCGCAUCAUCAGCAGGGAAAUGAAACACAACCACCUAAACCGUGCCUUGUUUCAAUUGGCUCUGAUAAUCUGAGAACGGGAUUGAAAUUACGAAUUUUUCCCCAUUCAUUGUCAAGGGAUUCUGUUUUCAAUGUGGGACGUAAUCAGGUGCUUGUUAUGUAUAAGAAUGGGAAACUAGCCCUUAGCAACAGAGCAUUGGCCAAGCUUAUUAUACAGUACAAGAGGUGUGGGAGAAUUAAUGAUCUGUCAAAGCUUCUCUGUAGUAUCCAGAAGAAGGGCUCAGUUGAAUCUAGCAGAAUGUGCUCUGAUGUGGUUUCUGCCUGCAUUUGCAUGGGUUGGCUUGAAAUUGCUCAUGAUAUUUUGGAUGAUUUGGAUUCUGAAGGAAAUCCGCUGGACGCUAGUUCAUACAUGUCUCUGUUGACUGCAUAUUGCAACAGAAAUAAGCUAAGGGAGGCAGAGGCACUACUAAAGCAAUUAAAAAGAUCAGGUGUCAUAUUAGCAUCUGAUCCAUUGUUAGCUCCUGCAUCUAUGUGUGAACUGGAAAGCAAGAAUAAGCUGAAAGAAUUAGACACUUCGGCGAAAGGGGAGCUGGCUUACCAUAUUGUUGAAGAAAUGAGAGCUGAAGAAAAUGAAGCUUCUUUUAUGAUGCAUGAUUUAAAUUUUUCAAUCUACUUUUUUAUGAAGGCUCACAUGGUUGAAGAUGCCGUAAGGGCUUACCGAAAAAUGCAGGCAAUGAAGAUCCAUCCGACGGUGUCAACUUUCAUGAAUCUGCUUAAUGGGUAUUCUUCUUUAGGGAUGUAUCGUGAAAUUACAAUCUUGUGGGGAGAUAUUAAAAGGAACAUGGAAAGUCGUAAGAACUUGAAUACCAGGGAUUUAUACGAGUUCUUGCUGUUGAAUUUUCUUCGAGGCGGUUAUUUUCAUAGGGUGAUGGAGGUUAUUGGUUUAAUGAAAGAAAAUGGCAUGUAUUUGGACAAGUGGAUGUAUAGACGUGAGUUCUUGCAGUAUCACAAGGGUCUUUACCUAAGAAUAAAAGUAUCUGAUGCUAAAAAUGACGUACAAACUCAGAGGAUUGAGCAUGUGAGGCACUUUAGGAAGUGGGUUGGCCUGGAUUAAUUCUUAUAGGUAUCAAGAAUAUUCUUCUUGCAUGCUGGGAAAGAGUCAAGACAAUAUUGAGCCAUCCUUUGCCAAAUUUUGACAGGCUUCUCUCCAUUUUUAUCUACCUGAGAUGUGCUGUACCUCUGGGGUAGGGGUCAUUGUUUCAUUGUAAAUUAUAUAUUUCACUCGAAGACAAAAAGUUGCAGGAAAGGACGUCUUUCUCUUCAGUUGUUCCAUUGGGUAUUGUAUCUAAUAGGUCAGUGCUCUUUAGCUUUUGUGGCAGAUUGUUGAAUUUGCAACUUUUGCAUCCACUCUGUGUUUGAUUUGUCAAGAAUAUUGAAGUUGGAAAUUGUAAGUAUGAAAAGGUCCAUUGUUGUAAAUAUGGGAAGGUUUGGAAUCCCUUUGAUUGGAGGAAUGACCAUGCAAUUUAUUUCCAUAUCCUCCUUCCUUCAUUUACGUGCCUAACUUAACCCUGUUGCCAUGCAGAUAAAAUUUAAAGGAUCAGGAAACUGUGUUCUGAUUGGCACUCCAGAUGUGAUUUUAUGCUCCUUGUCAGUCUUGAGUAUCUCUUCGAGUCGGAAUUGAUACUCUGACAUGCGUGGAUAUUGAAAAUUAUUCAUGGCUCCAGUGUCUACUCCAAGCCUGUAGCUUUCUGUCAUGGAGCUGAAAAAAGUUGCUAAGGAGAUGUUGGACCACUGGGUAUGUUUAGCCAGAACUGGCUCUAUAAAAUAUUCUUUAGCUAAUAUUCAGUUCUCCUAGUUCUUUAUUUCCAGAGAAGGUCUCCGUAUAGUUUCAGGAAAAGAAGGUUUUCGUAUAACAGUCCUUGUUUUUGGUUUUGAUAUCCUUGACCUUUGACCAUCUUGCGGAUCAUAAAUACUAAUAGAACAUCGAAGAGCACUCUGUGGGAAUACAUCAUCAUUUAUCGGUGAUGGAAAAAGGGAUCUUGUUGCACUUGGACUUUACUUGUAGGUUUCUUUCUAGGUUUUAGUAAACUGCACGUAAUAUUUCUUAUUGUCAAGUAUUUUAGAAUGGAAAUGGCUGAAAGUUGGGAUCUCUUAUAGACCAACUAUUAUUUUGGAGAUGUUUGAUCUGACUAGUGGGAUAACCUAUGAUCUACCCGUGUUCCAUGGUGGUUAUCAGAAGCCAUUGGCUAAUGAUGUUUGUACUCGUAUGUUUGUUCUCUUACCUUUUCUCACUAUUCCCCAUCACUUCCAAUUUGGAGACAGAACACUGAAAAGAUAAGAGCCUCCCACAUUCUUCCCUUGUUGCAACCAAGUCAUUGUGAAUUAUCUUGAAAGAGCUUAAUUUUAUGUUGAGAUGUUUUUUCCGGCUUAUCCAUCAACUUUGAUUCACUCCGGGGAAGUACAUGCAGAAAAAUUGGUAAAACUCUGUACUUCUGAACCGAUUUUGCUCUUCUGAUAGACAAACAGAUCUUAUUGUCCUCACCUGCAAAUUGCUACAGUACCUUGUGUGAGGUCAUUGCCUGUUUCAAGAAUAGAGAUGCUUGAUUAGACCCUGAAAGUGAAAACACUGGCAUCAUUACAUGUGCACUUGUAUUGUUCAAUGUGUUGUUGGAGGAUUUCUCUUAAGAAGACUCUUUAUCUAGGCAAAGUUAUCGUUAUGUUUCCUGUUCAUCAGCUGGGCAUUAUAUACAUGAAACCAACCCCGAUUUUUCUGUAGCACUAGGUUCAAAAACGCCUAUCUACCUUUCUCUGCUUACUCUGUGACUAGGUUCAAACACUUGACUUGUGUUUCUGGGGAAAAGGACAUAAGGCAACUAUCUAUGAUUUACUGUAAAGAUUUAAGGAAGGACAAGGGAGCAAAAGAAGGGAACAGCUUCAUCAGAAAAGAAGUGAACAGUCAUUGUUUAGUUGAAGGACUUGUAAUGCUAGUGUUGUUGUACUGUAAAAAAAAAAUGUGAAGACGCAGACUUCAGUAGGAUAUACGAUUAUACAACAUCAAUCUUAUAAGGAUAACAUGGAUUUCCACAUGUUAUUGUGCAAACUGAACGUUGCACUGCGCUAGCCAGUAUUACAUAGUUUUUAUAUAUGUUUGAGAAAUCAUAUGUAAUGUACAGUACAUGAUAACAAAGUUCAAAGAGGACACCAGCCCUUCCAGAUCCUUCAAAUAUAUCAUGAACUGAUCAUCAAACAUUUCCUGCACUACAGCUCUAACCAUAGCUAGAAGAAGUACCACACUCAAACUCAAGCAGUUAAAAAGUUUUCAAUGUUACAAACGCUGGAAUGCGUCAAGCUUUCACUCCGGGUUCGGUGCUUGGAGGCACUGCUGCCUUGGGUUCAGAGUUCUCCUCUUCAUCAAUUUCUUCAGUGUCACUGUCGUCAUCGCCUAUUGCACAAACAAUGUCAAUUUAUAUAUUUAGAUGAGGAUGCAAAUAACAAAUUUCCAAUCCAAGCAAUCGAUUUGAAGCUAAGAAUACCAGUUAUUGAUCAGAACCAAAUCAGACUUACCCUCAGGCACAUCAACAUCAAAAUCGCUAGGACCUUCUCCCAUGUUGAGUUUCUGAGAGAAUAAUACAAGGGAGAAUGUUAAGAUAUCAGCAUCAAUAUAGACUCGAAUUAACAGUAUCGCUUAUUAAUAUCUUUAGAGCUGCUUACCGAGAAGUCCAUGUCACCAAAAUCCAUAUCUGGCUCAGCUGAAAUUAGUUCAUAGUUAGCAAAUAUACCAAGUGGCUAAUAUCAACAGUGAAGAUAUCCCUAGUGACUUCAUACUUACGUUUACUGUCUUCUUCAUCUUCAUCAACCCAUUUGUCCCAAUCAACUUUCAAAAACACCGGACGUAAUCCCUCCUGCUUUACCAGUCUGCUCCACCACUUGUCUUCCGCCUUCUUCACUAGAUACACGAUACUUCUAGAGGUAGUACUACUUUUGCUCUCCUGAAUGAUCAUUUUACAGUAAAAUUAACAUGGGUUCUUCUAUCUCGCACAAAAAUUUGCAGAUGAUGCAAACUGAUGGAAAUUCACUUACAUCAACAUUAAUUUUAUCAAACAGAUCGAGAUCCACUUCAUAAGGUACAUUAUCAGCUCCUGCAGUUGCAGAGAAUAAGAAUUUUCCUUCUGGUUCCAGUUUCAGCUUCACAUUCUUGGCAUCUGGUAACUCCACCGUAAUAAACAACUUGUCAGACCUCUGAGCCCACUUGAUAGAAGGAUGUCGGCUGAGAUAGAGAAGCAGAAAACAAAUUGAUACCAAUUAAAUCAUAAAAAUCACAACCACUAUCAAGGCAAAACGAGGAAGAGACAAUUAGCAGGAUGUGGAUAGACACUCCAGAAUCCUAAGUUGCGCCGACUCUACACUUUCAAUCCUACGCUUGUGUCGGCCUCCAAAACUACUCUACACUUGUGUCGAAUUCUCCAAAAAUACACUACUUUUGGAGAAUCCGACCCAUUGAUAUUUUUAAAGAGUCGGAGCAACACAGCCAAAAAGGCACAGCCAGUCCAAGAAAUCACAAAAUGUAUUUCAAAUCAAGAAAUUUUGAGGAGAUGAGCAAACAAAGUAUCAUUAUUUUCUUCAGUGUAAUUCAUCAUAUGUUAACAAUGUCCUUUCACAUAAUUGUCUGUGGUAAAUUAUCCCACAAUAUUCAUGACGCAAGUAAUUGAAAGAUGACCCGUUCCAGCCGGUCCCAAUUGCUAUAUAGUUAAAUACAGAAGAAAAAAUUUAUUUGUUCUGAAUCAAGAACCACAUCAAACCAAUUACAACACGCUAAGAUGGAGUUUCAAAAUAUAAAAAAGUAAACACAUGAAAAGUUCAACAUAUGAAGAAAAGCUUAACCAUGUACAACCCAUAUAAUUUUCCAUCAAUGAUUUUGUUUUGGUUUCAGAUGAACCCUCUUGGCCCUACCUAGCUCAGUCCCUAGAUCAAGGGGCUGGCACACUAAAUACUACUAAAACUUCAAACACUAAACCCCUUGGCCCUACCUGGCUCCGCCCCGGGCUCAAGGGACGAGCACACUAACGGGUUCUAGAACGUUCUAAAAUAUGAAGAUUGAAGAGCAUGGACGGAUCUAGAAGGUACCAACGGAGUUCACAUUUUUAUAUAAAGUUCACCUCGAGGUACCAAGUUCAAAUCUUAUUCUUAAUACACCACUGAUGAAGAAUCCAUAAGGAUUCAACAUCCACAUUAUAUGCGUAAAAAAUAAAUUAACUAAAAUCAUGUAUAAUUUUCUGUUUACGCGAGGUUCAAAACUCUAAAAUCCUAGGGUUCAAUUCAAACAUUUCAACAAUAAAAUCAAGAACUUCACAAACAGUAACAACUACAAGUUUUCUGCUCAUAACGCAAUAGAUAAAAUAUACACAAGCUAUAAAGAAGAAAAUAAGCAUAGAUUAUUCCGCCAACAGAAGAUUGAAGAACAUACCUCAUUAUUUUAUAAUACACAGACGGGAAAAUUGAGAGAUAACAACUGCGUUAAGAAAGUUAUACAAACGGCAGUUGCUUUAUAUAUCAGUGUAGAGGUGGGGCCUGCUAGAAAUGUCUAGAUGCUUCUGGUUCCUUCUUUAUAUUUCAUGUAUACAUGUCUUCUUCUUUUUUAUUUUAGAAAAAGUCUUUAUUUGUAGAGUCGUUAAUAUGAGUUAGGUCUUUUAAUAUGAGUUAAGUUUGUUGGACGGUCCUCAUUUAAGAUUUUUUUUUUUACUUGACCUGAAUAAAAAUAUGGAUAGGAUCGAUAUGUGGAUCAAAUAAAUAUUAAUUAAAAAUAAAAAAUAAAAUAGAAUAUUAAAAAUAACAAGAGUCUAAAUUCAAAUUCUGUUUAAAGUUGAAAAUAUUACAACUUCAAUAUAAAUUAUGUUUAUAAAAUAUGUAGUACACAAACUACAAACUCCCUAAAAUUUCUAGGAGAUCACUACAUAGGCCGUAGUCCGUAGCCUAUGAAAUAUUGUCAUAUUUUUUGUGUUUUAUUAUUCUGAAAACAGUGAAGUUAAUAUUUUUAUUUAGUUAUUUAUGCUUUUACUUAAAAUCAACUUGAUAACUAUUAUAAAAAUAAUUUUAUUUGUGAAUUUAAUUAGCAAGCAGUAUCACUAACAUCGUGAUAAUAUUUUUGAAUUAUAAUUUAAUUUAGAAAAUUAUAUAAAAAAAUAUGCCUUUAAGAAAAGAGGCUGCCGGUAAUCCCAUAGCCCACAUACUUAUGAGUUGGACCGAUCAUUUUUCGACUCACAUAAAAAAUGGACUAGUCCAAAUUGAUCCGUAAAAAUUCAAAGUCAUACGGAUUUGUGCAGAAAAUAGUUCAGUCCAUAUUGACAGCUUUACUUAUUUGUGUUGAAGUUACUAGUUUUAAUUAUUCCGAUUUUAAAUUUCUUAUUGAAUUUGAUUAUAAGAUUAUAAAGAUGGUAGUUUAUAAUUAGAUUAUCCUUUCUUCACUAGCGCAAAGUAUCGUCGUUGUCAUUAACCAUUUGUUCUAUUACCUCAAUCAUUAUUCUCACAACAAACAUUGUUUAUAAGUACGAUAAUCAAAAUAUAAUCAUUAGUUAUUAAUAAUAUUCUCUCUGUUUCUAUUUAUUUGUCCAUAUUUUUUAUAUAUUCGUAUUUACUUGUCCAUUUUAACAAAUCAAGAAAAGAUUAAAAAAAAAAUCUUAUUAUACCCUCAUUUAAACUUCUUGAAAAAAUUUAUAACUUUUAAUUUAUCAUUUUUGAAACCAUAUUUAAUAAGGGUAAAAUUAUAACUUCACUAUAUUAAUUAUUGUUAUCUUAAUAUGUGUACCUUUUUCUAAAAUGGACUAACUAAAUAAAAAAGUAAUUAUUAUCACUAUUCAUAAUAAUCAUUACUACAAUGACAACAAUUAUUGACAUUAGUUAGCACUAAUCAUCAUCUUAAUUUAUCUAUCACUUUUGAUUAAUUAAUAUCAUCAAUUAUUAUCAGUUACUAUCAGCGACUAAACACAUGCAUUUACCAUGAUUAGUCAUCUAUAUCAAUAUUUGGUAAUGUCAAUUUUUACAUGAUUUUCUUUAAAAUAUCCCCUACAAAUUGAAUAUUAAUCUGAUAGUUAAAUAGCAACAGCAAAAGAGAAGAUCAAGUAUAGAAUGAAGGCAAAGAAAGAAUAAUAUUUGGUUUAAUUAUGAUUUUUAAAGAUAUGCUAAUAUGCUGGACAAGUUAUAUUUAAAUUAAUAAUUAAUAUUAUGAUAAGUUAUUCUUACAAGAGGAUAAUAUUGAGAUUAGUAAUUUCGAUAUGAAAUAAUGAAGAUGACAAAAAAUAUUUUUGAGGUCCCUCAAAAAAAAAUUUUGUACAGUGAACAAGUAUUGAUGGACAUUUUAAAAUUAUAUAGUGGACAAUUAUGAUUAGACAGACAGAGUACAUAGUAUUAACUAGGGGUGUGCAUGGUUUGGAUUAAAACCGAUCCAAAUUGAACCAAACCGAUUUAAUUUGGAUUUUGAUUAGAUUUUAGAUUAGUAAGAAUCGAUAGUAUUUGGUUUGAUUAUGGUUUUGUUCGGAAAAAAUCGAAGAAAUAAUCGAACCGAACCAAACCAAUAAGUUAAUAUAAAUAAAUUUUAUUAUCAUACAUAUAUAAUAAUUAUAUUCAUAAACAAUUUUAAAGAUUUUAUAUAUAUAAAAAAUUAUUUAUAAUUUACUUAUGGAAAAAAAAGGUUCAAGGUGAGAAUAUUUUUCUUAUUGGUUUAAUGUUUAUAUAUGAGUGUCUAUCGAAAUUCUUUGUGAGACUGAAAAUAUCAUUGUUUCUCCUUAUAAUGCCAAAAUAGUGAAUUUUGAAGUUUUACUCAAUAAAUUAAUUCAAUGAUUAAAAUAUCUGUAAUAUCAUUCAUUCUAACUAUUUUUUCGUUUGAAUGGAUUGUUGUCACUUUUUUCACAUUUUAAAUGAAUUGUUUCUUUUAUCUUUACGUAUGGUUAAUAACCGAAUAACUGAACCAAAUUAAAUCAAAACGAAAACAAUCAAACCGAUAAAUGUACAUUAUAUUUGGUUUGGUUUGAUUUUGAUAAUCUUAAAAUCGAUUAAAUUGUUUUGAUUUUGAUUAAUAAUGGACCUAAACCAACUCAUGAAAACCCCUAGUAUUAUCUUAUAUUUCCGCAAAAAAAUUUAUUUUCAUGACUCAAAUUCGUAACCUCCUCGUAACUUUACCAAUUACACCGAGGCAACUCGAAGUGUUCCCAUAUAAAAGUGCCCCAAGCAACAUUAGUGUGGUAUGGCGUACGUUGAUUCGUUAUUGUCAAAAUGUACUUGUUUUUCCAAACUCAAACAACUCCAAGCCCAUCUUAUUAUCACCGGCAAUUUUCAAUUCUACACUUGCCGCGCCAAAUUCUUGGAUUUCUGCGCCGUCUCUUCCGCCGGAAACCUCCCUUACGCCACCCAUAUCUUCCGCCACAUUACUUCCCCAUUCAAGAAUGAAUGGAACGCCAUUAUUCGCGGCCUUGCUCAAAGCCACAAGCCCAUUGAUGCUCUCACUUUUUAUGUCUCAAUGUCUCGUUCCCUUUGUAAGCCUGAUGCUCUCACCUGCUCCUUCACUCUCAAAGCAUGUGCUCGUGCAUUGGCCCGUUCCGAAACCCCACAACUUCAUACCCAUGUGAUUCGAUUUGGGUUUGAUGCAGAUGUGUUGUUGCGGACUACUUUACUGGAUGCGUACUCGAAAUCUGGUGAUUUGGAUUAUGCAUACAAGGUGUUUGAUGAAAUGGGUGUUAGAGAUAUUGCGAGUUGGAAUGCAUUAAUUGCUGGGUUAGCUCAAGGGAAUCGACCCACGGAAGCUUUGUUGCUUUUUAAGAAAAUGAGAGAGGAGGAUAUGGAACCAAAUGAGGUUACUGUGCUUGGUGCUCUCUCUGCUUGUUCGCAGUUGGGGGCGAAUAAAGAAGGGGAACUUGUUCACGAGUAUAUCAAAAGUAAGAAUCUUGAUUGCAAAGUGAUUGUCUGUAAUGCGGUUAUUGAUAUGUAUGCGAAAUGUGGUGUUGUUGGAAGAGCUUAUGAAGUUUUCAGUGAAAUGAAAUGCUUGAGGACUCGUGUCACGUGGAAUACCAUGAUUAUGGCUCUUGCGAUAUAUGGAGAUGGAGAGCAAGCACUUGAGCUUUUCGAGAGGAUGGGCCAAGCUGGGAUCGACCCAGAUAGUGUGAGUUACUUAGCUGCAAUCUGUGCUUGUAACCAUGCAGGAAUGGUGGAAGAGGGAAUGAAAUUGUUUGAUGACAUGGACAGAUGUGGAGUGAGUAAGAAUGUGAAGCACUAUGGUAGUAUGGUGGACUUGUUGGGAAGAGCUGGGCGGUUGGAGGCAGCUUAUAAAAUUGUACAGUCAAUGCCUACAUUUCCUGAUGUAGUUUUAUGGCAAACUCUCUUAGGGGCUUCCAAGACUUAUGGUAAUGUGGAAAUGGCAGAGAUAGCAUCCAAGAAGCUCGUUGAAAUGGGAUCAAAUCAUUGUGGGGAUUUCGUGUUGCUAUCCAAUCUUUAUGCAGCACAAGGGAGGUGGCAUGAUGUGAGAAGAGUAAGGGAAGCCAUGAAAGGUCAGGAUGUAAAGAAGGUACCAGGCUUUAGCUACAUUGAAGUUGGUGGAACGAUAUACAAAUUUAUGAAUGGUGAUAAAAACCAUCCAAAGUGGAAUGAGAUUUACUGGAAGCUUGAUGAGGUUUCGUUGAGAAUUAGGGAAUACGGGUAUGUGGCAGAAACUAAUUAUGUGUUUCAUGAUAUUGGACCGGAGGAGAAGGAGAAUGCACUGUUUUAUCAUAGUGAGAAACUGGCAGUAGCUUUUGGUUUGAUUAGUACACCUGAUAGGACUUGUAUAAGUGUGAAUAAGAAUCUUAGAAUAUGUGGGGAUUGUCAUGUUGUCAUUAAGCUCAUAUCAAAGAUAUACGAGCGAGAGAUUAUUGUGAGGGACAGGACUCGUUUUCACAGAUUCAAAGAUGGGGCUUGUUCUUGUAAAGAAUACUGGUGAGGUUGAUCUAAAUAUGUGUGUAAAGCACAUUAGUUUGACAUGGCACAGAAAACCAUAUGAAUGUAUGCCUACAAAGACUCACCUUGUACAAAGUGCUCCCCGAGUUUGAUAGAUGAGGGAGAUUGGACGUAUAUUGUAUGCAACAUACUUGGCAUUUCAGCUUUAGAGACUGUAGAAGUCGCGACCUACAGGUAUCCAAAGGAGAAACUCCACCAUUAUACCAGAACUUGCUUUCAGAAGAGGUACGACUCAUUUUCAGAAGUCCGAAGCAAGGAGCUUCUUCCUCUUGCAGAAAGUUGUGAUGAGGAAUCUGUUAUGUAUAAUGUCAUGAAAAGAGGAGCUUUAGAGAAAAAUUAACUUUGACAUUUGUUUGGCUGUUGAUUCAAUGUACUUUUGGCUCUACAUGUAUGCAGUAGUUGAAUCAUUUUCUUAAGCAAUUGUUAUGUUGUGUCCACUGUCAAGUAGCAAUAUUUUGAAUGUUUGAUUGGUGCUAAGGCAGGCUCCUCAAGUAGUAGAAGAAAUGAGAUUUUAUCAAAGAAGAACUAAAGAGAAAACUUCACAAGUCUUUAUAAAGUGUAUGAUGUAUCACAAAGGCUUCAAACAAAAUAGCACAAGGGUGAUUGAAAUAACUUCAAUGACCAUGAAAUUUUACACUACAUAGUUUGAACAAUUGUAAUUACAUGAUCUUGAUUUCUCUCGACUCACAACUCUUGAAAGGCAAUACAAAAUCAACCUGCUAAAGUCUGAGCAAGUUGCAAUAGUUGAAAAUGUAUACUGCACAAAGUAAGAACUCAGAAACAAUAGGCUUACAAAUCGUCAAGAGGUUAGACAAAAAUUACGAAUAAACAGGGUCAACUGAAAAGAAAAGAAUGAACAUUUCUAAUUCUGCAGCACACUUUCAAGUCUUGAUGAAUGUGGACCUUCCAAGGCAACUGCUAGAGUGAACAACCUCAACUUGGUAGCUAUCCCUACAAAAGACAUGUUGAUUUCAUACAGAGACUAAUGAUCAAAACCAACUAAUCUUUCAUCAGUUGUGCCUCGAAACCACCCUCAGGCCUUUUUACAAGUCUGUAUGGCCUGUAUGUUCCAAGAAGUUUGUCCCAAAUGGAAAAGAAUGGCUGAGAAUAAUUGAACUUUGUGCCUUGAAGCUGAUGGUGAAUGUCAUGGUAAGCAGUGUUAUUAUGGAAAAACAAAUGGAAGAUAUUACCAGGCAGCCAAAGUCCACAAUGAUCAUCAACUGUUUUGACCACAGCAAAACAGAAAAAGAUUACAGCAGUACGUGCAGUCAUUCCAGCAACAAGAAACGAAAGAGCACCACCGAAAGUAUCCAGGAGGAGACCUUCAAGUGGGUGGUUAUAAAGGGCACCAAUUGCGUAAGGCACGACCAACCGGUGAUGCUGGGAGUGAAUAUGGCGGUAUAAGAACUUGUUCUGAUGCAUGUAGCGAUGCACAAAGUACUGCCAUGUGUCCAUGACCAGCAUCGCAAUAAUGAUCUGCACAAUCUGAACAGGAAUUGAGGGCUGGACUACAGUUCCUGAUGUAGUUACCUUACAAGUUAACUGCAAUAGGAAACCAGAAACUAGUGUUAGUUAUGUAGAAUUUGCAAAAGCUAAUCAAUAUCAUAAAGAAACAGGAUUACCAAUCUUCAUUCCCGACCUUUUAGAAAAAUACUCCUAAAUAUCGUAUCUGAUUUUGCAGAAACUAGAAGAAUCUAUACUCCCAAUUCUAACAAUCACUAGUUAUUCUACUGUAGACAUAUUGUUGCUGGUACAGGAAACUGAUACUUCCUCUUCAAUUGAAUAGCUUUUAAGCGCCAAAAUCUUUACUCGAAGUGAAAUUAAACUUCAGAUGACCUUAUUACACAACCUCAUGAUUUUCUUUCAAUCAGCACUAAGAACCCAUGCAACAUUAUUUCACGCUAGCAAGCAGAUUCAACCUUCUAAGUUCUAAGUUAAUGCAGAAUGGGGCUAGCCUCAGAGUAAACUAGCUUAGUACAAGCAUUAAAACAACAUUAUACACCCUUGUUUCUUAAGAAGAGAGAAUCAUUUUCAACAAUGAAAGAAAUCUAACUACGCAAUAAUUUUUUGACCACUAGAGGGAUAAGAUUAUGAAAAUUGCAGACGAAUUACAGCUCUAACAAUCAACUAGAAGUGUCGUACAAUUAGGUGCACUAGGAAGUAGGAACCAUUACUUCUAAUAAAAUCAACCAGAAUUAUUACAAGUAAUGGUACCUAGUGCACUUUGUGUUAGUUAAGGUAAAAUGCUUUAUUGGAUUGGUGGUUAAAAGAACAUGCCUGACACAAGAAGUUCCGAAGAAAAAGGGGGCCAUCAUAGUUUCCAAGUGCUUCUUACAGCACCACUUUGGUCUCUUAUUUCUCAACAUAAUAAAGACAAGUUGGACCAUGCUGGAGCAUACUGCAAAUUUGCUUAGCUGCUGAAUGAAAAGAAGAGGUAGCAAAAGCCAAAAGAAGUGGUGGAGGAGGAUCAUACCACAAUGCAUCUGGUGGACAGUUGUAGAGAGAAAAAUGGGAGGUGCUGUGAAGAUAGAUCCAAUUCCAUUCAGAAAGUUAAAUCGAAUUGUAUAAUAUCAUUCUACUUUUGUUGUAAAGAAGUAGGUUUAGAGAAUAUUGAUCAUUUUGUAGAUCUAUUAAGAUCUAAGUAUCUUCUUUUGUAUUUUUUAUUUUUUUUUAACUUUCAACACUUUUUGAUGGUCUGCAGCAUGUCCUCAAUGUUGAGUAAUACACAUUGACCAGUUUCCAAAAAAAAAAGUGAAGUACUCUGUCAAAAUCCAACCUCAGCUACCACCCUGAUUGACCAGUUUGUAAUUUCACAUUCUGACCUCAACUCACACCUGUGGUCCCCUUACUCCCCUUUGCCCUACCAAUUUUCCCAUCUACUUGUCUCCCAAUUUCCUGUUGCUACUACCACACCUACCUUCCCCAUCUAUUAAUUUCCCAAUCUGUAGCCUAUUAAACUAUAAAAAGCCACAAUCUCUACUCCACUUACUCCUUUCUGAAUAGCCCCUGUUGAUCAAUGCCAGUUGCACUAGGGAAACUUGACAAGAUGAAUAGUGAUAACAGAACAGUUCGGCCUAGUGAUUGCCUACCUGAAAUUAGCCUUAAAGUUAACGACAUUAGUUUCCAGCAUUUGUUGCUUGAUCACUGUUCUGAUUGAGCUAACUGCAGUGGUUCUAAAACAUCUAUACAAAUUUCCACACUAAGGAAUAUUGUUGGAGAAACCAGACAGGCACUUUUGCCUUCAGGUCAUGGAUUUAGGCAAACAAGUAUAUUAGAGACAAGAUGUUGGUCUUGAUGUUCUGAUGUUAUAUCAAUUAAGUUUUACAAAUUGGUCAUUUGACUCAGAAAUUCACAACAUGUUUGGUGGUAGAAAAGUGGUAGGAAUUGUCACUGGACCAAAAGAUGUGUUAGCUGAUGGAUUUGAAGCAAGGGUGAGACUUGUGGUUGUUUGGACUGUAUCCACAUUAAAUAUUGUGUCCCUGGAGAUCAACAGUGAAAGACGAGGAUAAGAUGAAUGAGGUAAUUUGACCUGAGGUCAACCUAAACAUGGUAAAAGAUGUGAUGAUCGCAAACAGUCCAAUAGCCUCAAUAGCUUGGGAGGUAACCUCCUAGUCUUAAAGUCACCAGGUACCAUUUGAAUUUCAAUUCUUACUACCCAAUACAUAAACAAAAAAGAAUGAAAAAGGUAAAAAGAAGAGAAGCGAACACAACUCAUCAAACUCGCAAUAUCAGAUUAUGAGACAAAAAUUUGUUUCCCUGACAGUCGAUGAGCAAAAUAAGCAUUUGUAGAAAUCUCUAAACUCCAAUAUGUAAGUAUGAAUGUCAAGACCUACUCCGUUUAUUAGUUCCAGUUAGAUCAUUAACCAUUUGCAACAGAAUUCCCUCUUGAUCUAUCCAUGAUAAUUGCUCAUAGAGACCCAAGUAAUAUAGAUGGCAUCUUCGAAACUAUCUGUAGGUCAGAACAAAUACAACUGUACCAGAAAAAAUUUCAUGUUGCAUUAACAACCCAAAACCCUACAUUGGAGGCAUAGAUCAUUCCACGUGUCUCAACCAUAAAAAGUUUAGGUUAAUACAUUUUUACUGAUAGGUCGUGGGUGAAGAGAUUUGACAGCUGCAAAACUUCACUAGAAGGCAAAAGAUCACCUUUAUCAUGUGACCCUAGCAGCUAAUGGAACCCCAGAGCAAAAAAAUUCGAUAAACAUAUUAAAACGAUUAAUUCGGAUAAAAAGAAGGCAGGAGGAUUUGUAGGUUUCUGGAUGUAUAAUAUAAAGAAGAGAGAUGACCACACAUAUUGUUUGAUCUGUUCCGAAAUGUGUUCAAGGUAUAUUAUCCAAAUUCAAGAAAUACUCAAGCAAACUGUAAGCAUGGGGAAUUCUAAAGCUGAAGAAACAAAAAGGAAAAAAUACAUAUUAAAGACAGUCCCAUAAAUGUGCAAGCCAUCUUUGAAGGGGGAGAAAAUAAUUUUUACUAGAUUUACUAAAUGAUAAUUGUGGUGCUCGAGCCAGCUUGCACCAUUUGACUAUUUCACCAGGUAUCAACCGCCUCUCACCAACAAAGGCACCUAGUAAUUGUGUCCAACAGGCUUAGACAAAUGAAAAGAAACCAUCUAGAGUUUUUUUGCCUGAGUUAGGAUUUUGAACCCUGGUCUCUCGUGAUUUUCACCCACUUCAUUGACCGCUAAACCAGAGACUCGGGUAAUUUUAGUUAGUUGAUAAACCCAUCAGGAUGACUCUAAAGUUCAUUCUUCCUUUGGCUCAUUUAUGGGUCUAUGUUGCUUAGCAUAUAUAUGACCUAUGGAUAGAAUCCGCUGGUAUAGACUAGCGCUCACACUGAUACAUGUCUGUGGGAAGAAGUGGUCACAGGUUCUUCAUUCAUUAUCCCAACACAAUUACAAGAGCAAACAGCAAUUUCACCAUAGAUAAGAUAUCACUUUUUUGGAGCAAAAAACUUCCGAAACAUGUGUUCUCUUCAGUACCAUAGGUCUGCAGAUGCUAUAAGACCAAUAUGAAAGUUGUGGCCUAACAGAGGGAGAGGGUAUGGAAGAGUUCGUCCACAUGGCUAAAUUAUAUUGGUGUUAUCCAAUGGUUACGUCGAGGAAAUCCAGGUGAGUAGCUACCCAUUGGAUAAGCAUGUAGUUAUAAUAGUCGUCCGGGAAACAGUAUUGGUACCACGUUUAUUUUUAGGUUGAUCAGCUCAAUGGUGACUAAAAUAUAGCAAGACUUGAACUAUCUACAUCAUAGGAAGUGUCCCCAAAGCCUUUUGAAAUUACAAAUUCUGCAAGUUUAUUCUAGAAGUUCAAGUUCAACAAACAUAGCAAUGUAUAAAAGAAAAAAGAAGCAACAUGCAAGGUCCAGGUUGUACAAGUAAAUCUGGCAUGGCCACUAAUACAACACCCUGAUUUGGAAGAUACAACAGAAUGGUAGUUUUUUUUUUUAAAUAACUAGGGGAACCAACAUCCACUACCCUUAGAGUGCGCACAAGGAGAAACCCCCGCUCCUAUGCAAGAGCUUGCAAACCACGUAGGAGAGUUAACCUGCACUGGCAAGCCCGGUACGACGAGCGCGACCCAGAAGGAAAACCCCUUGCUUUCGCUUGCAAGGGGUUUCGAUAUGGAGACCUCCAACAUGGAAGUCCCAAGCCCAAACCACUGGGUCACCCCGAAGGGUAGAAUGCUAGUUAUCCAAAUAGCAUAUUUCCUACUUUGACCAUAAUGGGAGAAACUGAUCUUUCAGAUAGUUUCCUUCAAAAUUCCAAUAUGUGAUGCGAGAUGAGAAGUCACCAUUUGGUGUCUCCUUGAAGCUCUUUCAUUUCUGAUGUGUCCCUAAAUUGGCGUACUUGAAGUGAAAAUGGGGAACAUAUGAAGCAUGCUUUUCAGUAAGACUAGAAAAGCUGCUUAGAUCUUCAUUUCACUUCCUCGUGCUUAUAGGUUAGGUCAAAUACACAAAUUGAUUCAACGGCAUCUACAAAAUGCAUAUAAUCUAAUUUAACAUUUUUUAUUAACCUUCUUAUGCUUCUUGCAACACACAAAAAAUUGAAACUUGUCCAACCCUUCGUUCAUCUACUUGUUAAAAAGAUACUACAUUUACCUGGGAGAAUAUAACAUGAUGAUCAAUUUUGCCAUGCUUCAGAUAUUAUAUUCUAGACUUCUUCCCUCUCUCUGUCCACUUCUAUCAAUUUCAUGAAGAAAAUGUUCUUAAAAGGACAAAAUAAAAUAUGGCAAUGUAGUCAAUCCAUUGAACGAUCAAAGACUUAUACUGUUAUGUGUAUUGGAGGGGGGAGCACAUUUGAGGAUGUCCGCUAUUGGACCGUCUGUAUAGAACGAACUUAUGAAUGCUUCUAAAGAAAAAGGUUGAAAGGCACCAUUCCUGCAUUCAUUAACUUGUUCAGAAAAUACUUUCAUCAUCUUAAGUGCUUCAUUCUCUCACGAGUAUAUGACAUAAUGGUUACUAAGCUAUAGAUGAAUUUUUCUGUACUUCCUUUCUGCCGCUCUGACUCCUUUUCUAUCAACUUCAUGAGGAACAAUAUUCGAUGAAGGACAACGCCAAACACAGAGAUGUGAUUAGCAUUUCAACGCUAUAUAUUAUAUAUGAAGGGGAGAGGGGAGAACGUUUGUCGCUGGUCAAUGUUGUCGAUAAAAGUAAUCACUGCAUAAGCUAAGGCUGAUUGGCACAUUAAAUAGAAGAGUAUUGAAUCAAAAUCAAAUAACCAGUGCACUAAUUAGAGCACACUACAUGAGAAGUCAUGCAAUAGUUCAUUACCCUCUUAAGUAAGUAACUGCAAACAACAAGCUGGUCAUAAUUGGAAGUCUGACAGCAAUAUAAUCUGACCACUUUGUUAUAAAUCAGUUUAGCCAAUGCAUUAAGUGCUCCCAACUAGUGUUCGUAGGAGGAAGGUGUAUGUCGUACACAGCCCUCUCUUUGCAUUUCUACUAAAGGUUUGUAUCGAUGCCUCAAACGUGUGACCUACAUGCCAUCAAAGGAGCAACUCUACUUAUCCAUUUCUACAGGCCUUAUCCACCCAGUCACACAGUUAACUAAUCAAUCCAAAGAACUCCAACCAAGACAGACAGACACAGUUUAUGGAACCAGAACCAAAAAUAGCUGAGGAAUUACCAAAAAGAGCAAGUGGGCAACAGUUGCCUGAAAAAACUGCUGAAGAAGAACCCCUUUAACAACAGAAGCCAGUGGAACUAAGUUCUUGGCAUUUUCCUCUUUCCUAGUAUGAAGACGAUAUUUAUCCAUGGGAGGCAAUAGCUGAUAGAACCCUGCAUACAACCAAUACACCACUAUUGGGGCAAAUGUCCCCAUCACUUCAUCACUCACAUAACCCUCCCAAAACACCAUUUUUAAGCCCCCUUUUCAAAAAAAAAAAAAAGUUACCCCCUUUCCCUUAUCCCUUUUCCCUCAAUCCAACACUCUAAAUUAUGAAAUUCCCAGCUCAAGAUCUACAUACAACAAGCACAUUACAACAUUGAAACAAGAAUCCAAGAAAAUGAAAACCCAAAUAAGUUCUUGAACAAAAGAUCAAAUCUUUAGCCCCAACAAAGCAUUGAAAUUACUGGUGGUGAUUUUGGCAAAUCUUAGAGAAACAAUUAUUGGAAAUAUGAGAACAGAUCUGGGGCAUAUGUAUGUAAAUGUAUGUAUUAACAUGAGAGUUGAGCUGGGGUUAAUACAAUGAUAGUGCUGACAGUUGUGAGAUUCGGCCUAACUUUUUUUUUUUUUUUUUGAAUUUGUGAUUCUGAGAGAUUCGUUGGAAAAGGGAAAGGGAUGACAAGAAAAGGGGCAAACAACAAAAAUGGCUUAUUCUGCUUUUGUUUCUUUCUUUCUUUUCUUCUUCAUUUUUUAUUAUUUUUUCUUUGAAAAAAAUAGAAAAAAUGUUAAUUUCACUUGAGAUUAUUUUAAUGGUAAAUUGUUACAUUUGACUUUUUUAAGAGGUGAUUGGUUUGUUUCUUUUAUUAGAAAAACUAGACACAUGUGCUCGUACUAGCACGGAUUCAAUAUCUGUUAUUUUUUGUCUCACUUUAUGUGAUAUAGAUAAAAUGUAAAGAGUUAAUUAAUUUUUAAUAUGAUUUUUAAAUAUUUUAAAUUAUUAAGUAUCAUAAUUUAUAGUAUCUUUACGUAAUUUUUGAAUAAUAUAUGUUAGUUUUCCUGUCCCAAAUAUAUUGUGGCACAAAAUAGAAUUUCAAGAGUCAAUAUGUUGUUAAUUAUUGCGUAAAACCACACAUGUGAGGUUAUCUCAUGUGUUAUAAAGAUGGAAUAACUAAAAUAUGAAUAAGAAAUAUAUUUACGUAUACGAAAUGUCAAAAGCCUCAAAUCAAUAAAUAAGCUGAAAUUAAUUAAAGACCUCUACUAAUUAAAACAUAAAUUUUCAAGGUGAAAAUCUCGUAAAUCAAUUAGUAGAUGAAGAGGUCUUUAAUUGUCAAAAAAUAAUACUCCAAAUCCGUCCACUAUUCGUUGUCAUACUUUCUAUUUUUAACGUCAAGUUAUAAAAAAACUUUGACUAACAUUUUGCAAUAUAUUUUUUUAUCAUGUUGAUAUGCAAAAAAUUGCAAUAUAAUUUUUGAGUAUCUAAAUUUUUUGUUUAAAAUAUCAAAUUAAUGUAAUCUAAGUUAAUAAAAAUUAGUCAAAUUGACUUUCGAAAAGUGUAACAUAACAAAUAAAAAUAGAUAAAGAAAGUAAUUAAUUUACGAAAAAAAACUAAAAUUAAAAUAAAAAAUAAAAAUAAUGUUAGACAAGGUUUGAACCCCAAGACAUUAGAAUUGAAAUGUCAAGCCUGAUUCAUUAGGCCAAAUAGCAAUAUAUGUAAAUAAGCACACAACUAAAACACACAUAUUUAUUUUUAAUUACGUGUUAUUUGCUUCAAUUGUGUGCUUAUUGCCAUUUAUAUAUAAAUAGGAGAUAUAUAAAUAGUAAAAUUAUAGAAUUGUAGAAGUGAAUGUGCCAUAGACCAUAGUGCUGUACUGCAAAAUGAUAUUAUGAAAUAUCUUGUUUAUGCCUAUAUCAAUAAAUAAUUGCUUCGUUGAUUGUCUAAUAUAUAAUUAUUUUUUAUUUUCUCUUCUCGAAUCCUAAUUAAAUAAUCACAAUAACAAUAAUACAUAUAUGUUUAAUAUUUACAAACAAUUUUUUUAUUAAUGUCACUAUUAGAAUAAAGUUUUAAUAACGUUUUUUUAUUUUCUCCAUCUUUCUUUGUUCUUCGUUUUAACUUGAUAGUUCAAGUAGUUCAAUUUAUUUCAUAAUUUGUAUCGUCAUCAAAGAAAGUUGCUUUGACAAAAAAGUUCAAUUUUAAUUUGAUAUUUUUAACUUAGUUUAAAAGUUAAACUACUUGUAAUACAUGGAUAAUUUGUCUUUCUAAUUUAAUAAUUGAAAGAUGAAGUUCACUAAUUAAAAUAAAUUAUCAUGUAAACUAGGUCAAUAAUAUGAGAACAUGUAUGCACAUGGUUACAAGAUUUAAAAAAAAAACAUUUCACCUUGAAACUUGAAAAUAAUGUUUGUUUAAAAGUAGGAAAAUGAAACAAGUGGAGAAAGCAAAAGAAAAUCGUUAUUUAUGUCCUAUUUUUAUUUAAGAGUUUCGAAUUUAAAUUCUAUAAAUGAAAUAAUAAUAUAGGGAGAGAGUUUUUUCAAAUGAUAUCACCAAUAAAGUAUAUAAACUUUUACACAUUGUUUAUUAUUUGACAUGAAGAAAAAAUAAGUACACAUUGUUCUUAUACAAUAGAGUUUAUUAUGUCAUUUUGAUAUUUUAUCGACAUGACAUAAUUAGUGUGAGAGCGUUAUAAUUAUCUGUAAGAGUCUUAUUUGACUUCUUCUUCUAUAUAAAAAAAAUUAUUCUUUUUUUUUCCAAACUUAAACUUUUUUUAUGAUAGAAAUAGAUUUAAUGAUAUAUCCAAUAAAAAAUGAAUUUAGUGCACAAGAUUCUUUAAAAGUUUAAAUUUUAGCGACAAGAAAUAAAGACGUAUUUUUUUAAUGUAUGUGAAUCCUUUGCACGUGUGAGAAUUGCAAAAAUGAUAUUAAAAAACUUUCAUUGUUAAUUAAUAACUGAUUUUUGAAAAGUAAAGAAAAAAUUAUAUUUUUUUAAAAGUUAAUUAAACUCUUUCAGAAAAGUGUUGGGUGGAAAAAGUGUUAGAGGUUGGGUGGAGAAAUGGUGGGGGGUGGAGGUGAAGAGGACGAUCAGGUGGCCAGUUGAGAAGCGGUUGGGUUGGGGUGGGUGGUGAGGAAGAUCUGGUGAGAUAGAACGAUUGGGGUUGGGGUGGGUGGAGGUGAAGAUGACGAGUGAAUGGAUUGAAAAAGACGAUUAAGCAUGAUUGAAUUGGUAAUGAAUUUAUUUUUAAGAAAAAUUUAUUAUUUUGAGUUUAAAAUGUCAAACGUCAUCAAAUUAGUGGGUUUUUUCUAAUCAAAAGUGUUUUCAUUUAAAUCGUCACUUUGAUACAUACAUCAUCAGGGAAUGUAUUACACACAUUUUGUAUAUUUGGGUUAUUAUAAAAAAAAAAGGUGUCAAAACGGUACAAUGAAACCCUACAUAAGCUGUCUAAAAUGAACAAAGCUCAAUUAAAGUGUCUAAAUAAAACUUGAUUUCGAUUUUAGAAAACCACCGAUAUUCAUCUUUUUUUAAACUAUUCAUAGCAAAAUAAAAUUUUAUGUAUAUGUAAUUAUAAAAGAAUAUGUAUAUGAUUUAUCGGUUCAAUAUUAGGUUACUUCUUUCAAGUCUUCUUCCGAUUUCAUCGAUUUCUUACUAGAGCACCUCUAUUGUGAAAAAUUAAAAAGACUUUACAUGUCGUUAGAGAAAAACUAGAAGAAGUUGAAGAAUACCCUCAAGCUAUUAAAUAUUGUUUAAAUACUCUCUUCUCACCUUUCGAAUAAAAAAUGUCUUUAAAGUUAUUUUAAAAUUACAAAUAUCCUUCUUUAAUAAAAUUAUGACAUGACAUAAUGUGUUUUUAAAUUAAAUACAUAACUUUAAAAUAUUGAUCCACAUGAGUUUUUUAUACAACUCAAAAGGUCCGAUCCAUGAAUAAAUAAAAGAAAUUCACAUUCUUAAAGCUAUUUUAUAACUCAAAAACAUGAAUUUUCCUACGAACUUUAAAAAUGUGGACAAAUUAAAGAUGCCGUUAGUGUCUUCAAAAUAGUUAGGGUUAUAUUAAAAAUGAUUGAGUUUAUUUAUUCAUGGAUUGAAUCCUUUGAGUUAGGUUUAAAUAUUUGUGUGGAUUGUGGAUCCAUAUUUUAAAGUCAUGUGUUUAAUUUAAAAUUUUAUUUAUACUAUGUCAUCAUUCUGUUAAAUAGGGUAUUUUUAAUUUAAUAAAAAACUAAUUUUAAAGAUAUUUUUUAUCGAUAAAUAAAAAAAAAAAGGACAUUUUUGAGAAAUUUUCACUACGUUAGGGUUAUUUUUAGCUUCUUUUUUGUUUAAGUUUUUCCAAUAAUUAAAAGACUGAUUUUGUUAUUUACUCUCUUCUUCUUUAUGGUCAAUUUUCCUCGUUUUCCCCCAUUUCUACUCCGAUGAAUAAGAUGAAAAAAACAACGGAUUCCGCCGGUGCCGGCGGUGUUAUGCCACGGCCAGAUUCAACAUUGAACACCGGAGUAGUCCGAACAGAAUCUCAACAGCCGGAAUCGCAACCAAGAUAUUCCCCGGAAUUGAUCAUUGCCAAUCUCAGCAAACUCUCGGAUGGUCUCUUUGCGUUCCAGCGAUGCUUGACUGACCUAGAACAACACAUUGAAUCUGCACGGACCUCAAUUGACUCCGCUAUGCUACUACUGUUCACUCCGCCACCAGUGACACUCCCAACCCCAGUGCCAGAGCCAAAACCAGAUCCAAAGCCAAAACCAGAGAUAGAGCCAGAACAAUCUUUCGAGUCUGACCCCUCUGAAUAUGAAGAGGAGGAGGAGGAGGAGGAGGUGGUGGAGAAGGAUGAGGUAGAGAAGGAGGAGGAGGAGGAGGAAGAAGAAGAAGAAGAAGAUGAUGAUGAUGAUGAUGAGGAGGAGGAGGAGGAGGAGGAGGAGAAGGGGAAGGAGAAGGAGGAGGAAUUGAAAUCGUCUUCUCGUUCAGAGCUGGAAAUCCUGUGCAAAACGAUGGACUUUGUUGGUCUGAAGAGGUACAUCGUGAGGCAUAUGUCAGAUAAAGAUGGAUUGCUUAAACAACUUCCUAAGGCAUUGAAACUGUCGCGCAAUCCAGCAAGGCUUGUUGUGCAGUGUAUCAACAAAGGGAGCAAGAGGCAUGUCAAUAGCUCAAGGGGACGGGCUUCUUUAUUGGCUAUGGAAUGCCUCUUGUUGAUGAUGGGAGAAAGGAGAGUAGUUGCGAUUGAUAAACGGACGAAAAAUGAGGCAGAGCAGGCAGCUUUAGCAUGGCGGGCGAGGCUGAUAGCCGAAGGAGGUAUAGGAAAGGCUAAUGAAAGGGAUGCCCAGGGUUUGCUGUUGCUCAUCGGGUGUUUCGGGAUUCCACAAGGAUUUAUGGAUCGGGAUAUCAGAUUUUUGUUCAAGGCAGGUGGCGCCAUGGGGAUUUUUGGUGCCCUUAGGAGAUCAAGAGUUCUCAUGGAAAAGAUUCCACAAAUAAUACAGUGGAUGUUGAAUAACUCUUUAGUUGUUGGGGCCAUUGACAUUGCCUAUACUUUUGGAAUGGGGGAUAGAUAUAACCCUCGUAAAAUCUUGACAUCAUUUUUACACUCUGAAGUGUUAUAUUUGAACAAUACUAAGGGACUUGAACAUCAAAGUAUUGCUAUGCGUGCAGGUAAAAAGAAGCACUUGUCUGAUCUGGAAUCUGUCGGGGAAUGUUUGGACCGUCACAAGAUUGAUCCUUCGAAACUCCUUCCUGGUUGGCAAAUCGAUGUGAGAAUAAUGAACUUGGAGAAAGAUAUUGCUGAUUUGAAUAUGCAUAUAGGUGAGGAAGAAGUUGCUGAAUUGACUAGGCAUAUAGGUGAUCAAAAGAUUACACAAAAGAGAAAACUUGGUGAGACUGAGUCCUCUGGUAGUUUCAGCAACAAAGAAAUGAAACCCUCGCUUUUUCCAAAUCCAAAUCCAUGGCCUCCACAACAACAUAGAGUUGUUAAUCAUGUUGAUGACAGCAACAGCACCUUGUUAGAACGCAGUGGAACUGCCAGCCAAAUUUAUGGUUAUUCUCUGGCCCCGUCGGUAUUGCAUCAAACUGUUGCAGGCUCAAUACAUCAAAAUGCUGUUGGCUCACUGGCAGGACCUGUGGGAGGUGUUGUGGCCAUGGAUGGAGCUGGAGCAGGUAAUUUAGUGAAAGGAGGUUCAUGUGUUGGAGUUCAUGGAGGGACUCUAGUUGAUCAUACACCUAGUCAAAUAGGAAGUCAUACUGGUCAGUUAUAUGGACCCCCUGGUGAUGCACACACCUAUGCUUAUAGGCCGCCAUCCUACUUUGAAGCAUCGGGCUCUAUGGGGUUGCCAAACACCAUGCCUGGUGAUGCUUAUAGGCCUCCACCAUAUUUGGAAGGCUCUAUGGGGUUGCCAAACAACAUACCGGGUGAUGCUUAUAGGCCAAACCAAUACAUGAAAUGCUCCAACGGCUUGCAAAAAAACAUAUCUGGUGAUGCUAAUCAGCCUCCACCAUACAUGGAAGGCUCUGCACGGUUGCCAAACACCAUACCUGCACCAUAUCAGUUUGCUGAUUCUGUUCCAUCUGCUGCCCUUGCUCAUCCUUCACCCUCCUUGUACUGGAAGAGAUAGUUUUGCAUUGGGCAGGCAUUAUUUCUAACGUAGUUUCCCUUUUGUAAUAUACCCAAUCUAGAAUUGAUCUCGCACGCAUGGUCUUGGAGAAGGUUGUAGUUCAUUAGCUACUAUAAAGCUCUGGUGAAUGUUCGGCCUAGCAUAGUGAUGUCUAAAUUCUACCUGGAAAACUUUCAUUUGUUUGGAAAGAUUUCAAAAAUUACAAUAAUUUUUUAAAGAGGUAAAAGAGAUAAAUAACUUAUCGACUUCCCUUUGGUUUCUCCUCCCUUCCAACAAACAUGAUCUUCUAACAAUCUUGUUUUCCCUUUUCCUCAUCCAGUCCAGCAGGUCACAAUGGUUCCUUGGAAAACCCAAGGUCGUAGGUUCAAUUCCUCAAACACGCAUCUUCCUUUUUUCCAAGUGUGACAUUCUUGUAAAUUUUCGCCUGAGAUGAGAUUAAAUGAAGAAACAAGAAUCGUGAGGAUACAUAUGAUGUUUGUUGUUUUGAUGGUCUGUUCAAUUGUUGACUGUGGGCAUGUGCACUUGUAUAUGUUGUUUGUCUCUCUCUCCAUUCUUACGAGUAAGUGUUGGACCUGCAUCUUUUUAUUUGCUCCGUUGAUGUUAUGAAAUGAUAUAGUUCUUGCAUUUAGCUUAAAUGUGUCAAAAUUUUAGAUUUUAGUCUACCCAAGGUUGUAGUUUAUUGCUUGGUGUGAAUUGUUUGAUCUUUGGCCAUCAGCCUUUGAGUCUGACAUGAUUUGCAUAUCUAUUGUCUAGAAGAUAUAUUCUGAAGUUGACCUUCGACUUAUGAAUCAAUCCUUUUGAUUUGGGAUUUGGGGGAUCAAUUUUAAUGUUUGUUUCUAUGUUGCUUAGGUAGGUGGUCGAAUGUGUUAUGUUUCAAUUGCUGUGAUGUAGAACAGCUGAAGGUGGUUGAGUAUGUUAUAUUCAAUUUCUUUUAUUCCUAACUUCGCAUUUUAGUUUAUGGGCUUGCAGAUAUGCAUCAUAUGGAAACCACAUUUACUUGAUUUGUUUUAUUUCUGUGUUGAAGUUUGACUUCAUUUAAGUGUCACCAAAUGUCUGUUUUUAUAUGCAGUUCAGCUGUUACAAUAUUUUUGUUGCUCCUGAAGUCAAAUUUUUUGCUUGUUCAUAAAUGCACCUUUACAUUUCCUGCUGGUUACAGGGGGAGUCUCUGCCUUUGUGAGCUUGCUCACAUUGUAGGUCCUAAGUAGACAACCAACAGUCAUUAUAAUACAAGAUAAGAUGGGCUAAGAUGCAUUGACACAGACGGUGAGAAUUUACUCAAACAGAUCUCAACUUGCUCAGAUUGAAGUUUAGUUGUUUUUUUUUGUUACGGGGGGAGAGAUUGAUGGGCAAACCUUGGCCUGAACACUGAUUGUGAGAAUUUGCAUCUGUUUCCACUGUUUUUUACACAGCAUUUGUGACUUUUGGCUUGAAUGAGAUGUAUAAGAGAGAUAACAGAUCAACUAUUAUGUAUGAAUUGAAAUUGGGAUAUCAGCAAUGCCCCAGAUAUAGUCAUAUGAGAAUUUGUAGCAUAUUUCUUUCUUGUAACAUUUAUGUAAAAUCUUACAGCUUCCUAUUGAUCUCCACAAUGCAUUUUGUACUUUUACAAUUGCUUGAAUGGCCAUAUGAGGUAUAAAAUCUUCAUAAUGUUUAACGUGCUAGCUCGACUCUCUUAUCAUACUGUUGCUGUAUUUAGUGUGGUGAAAUAUGUGAGCAAUUCUUUCAAUGUAAUGGAAUGAUGAUGGAAUAUUGAGAAAAGCUUGCGCAGUUACAUAUCAAUGUUGCAAAUUGGAUUUUGCUACCUAGCAAAUGUUAUUAGUUGAUUUUCUCCAAUUUAUAACUUUACAGACUGAGACUUGUGAAAGCAUUAGAAAUGAUUUGGAUUCUGAAACAACAAAUAUCAUGUACAAAAUACAAGAUUAUACUUCAAAUGAAACACACUAUAAUGCAAAAUGGCAAUGAUAUCUAGUAUGAUUAGAUUAAAAAUCUGAUCAGCAAAGGCAAUAAGGUACUCUUAACAAUGCAAGUCAUAACUAAGCCUGAGCAAUGCUGCUUCUUACAAAUUAAUCAUCUUCCAGAUGUUGUUACAAGUGUCAAAGGCAGUUUGAUUUGAUGAAUCAAACUCGAAAUUUUCAACCACCUUCUUAUCUCUCUCCACAAUAUCUAGAAUAGGUCAAGGUGAACUAAAUUGCUGCACAAUCUCGAAAAAACAGACACAAGGUGAAUUUAGAAAAGGAUAAGAAAUGUUAGCUUAGCAAACAAAGUAAUUAGGAUACGGCCUGAUAUUUUGGAUUGAUCAUCCAAGUCCGGGAUGAUACUUGUGACAGAAGCAUACAGUGAUAGCUUCAUCCUACAAAAUAAGAUGAGAAAAUUGCUCGAAAUUAAACAAUAUACGUGAAACAGCCCUUAAAGAAGAUGCAUUACAAACAAUAGUAGCUAGAGAGAGACAAGGAAAGAUCACACUAAAUAUUAACACAAAUUACCAAACAUCAAUCGCACACUGGGAAUAAAACUUUCAUACUAAGCAUUUUAAAGAGAAAGAAAGAGGAAAAGGAACUUUCUGGAUAAAAACACUGGUAUCCCUGCAACAGGAUAUUCUGCGAGCGGCUGUGUGUCUACAGAGUGUAAGCUUCUAAAGAAAAAAAGUAAAAUGUCUAAUAAAUUUCAAUCCUCGCAUGAUGUUCAUGUAAAACUGCAGCAGAGGUAAACCUUAAAAAAUUACUACUCCUUCAGUUCCAAAAUUAGGUGAUAUAGUUUGAAUAGUCAUAGAGUUUAAAAGAGAAAUCAAGACUUCCUAAACUUGUGGUCUUAAACAUGUCAUAACAUUUGUGUCUAUAGAACUUUUGAAACUUGUGGUCUUAAAAAUGCCAUAAAAUCUGGAUGGUCAUAAAAGCUUUUCAUUAAGGGUCAAAUGGGAAGUGUAAAGUUAAUUGUUUACAAAUUUAGAAAUGUGUUAUUCUUUUCGGAACGGGCUAAAAAGAAAAGUGUAUCCCAUAAAGUGGGAAGGAGGGGUAUGUUUGGUUGCGUCCAGACAAAGUCAAAUCAGGUGUAUAUUCAAUUUGUAGAAAUACUUAGUUGGGCGAUAGUUACACCUAGACAUCCAAAGAUGUAAUGUGGUAGAACUUGGUCGCACCAGAUGGGAUGUUAAUGGACUAUCUUAACAGUGAUUGGCAUAUGGCAGAUACAUUCAAAUAUGUGUACCAUGUUGCAAUAUGGAACUGAGUAGGCAAAUUAUCCACAGAAUAUGAUGAAAACAUGUCAGACCCUCCCAACCUCUUGAGAUACUUUGACAGCAUAAAGUUGCAAAAGCUUAACGAGUCAACAUAUCAAUAUCUUUUUCUUUUUUGAUGACCGAGAAACCUCAAGGGCCAGCAGGCACGGUUUGAACUUAGAGGAUGAGGAGGAGUCAACAAAUGCCACGAUGGGAUUGUUUCAACGAAAUAUUGUAGAAGUAUGUUGGAAGCAAAUGCCUGACAUAAUCAUAAACAUAUUAAAGUACAAGAGGUUAUGAUUACUUACUCAGCUCGAAGAUGAUCUUGCUCAAUUUUCUUGAGCAAUUUCCUGUGCUCCUCAAUAGAGUCUCUUUGGCGAUCUAAAUCAUUGAUCUCAUCGGUUAUAACUGUGUUUAAAAAAGGUGUCAAUCAGUAAGCAUAACACUAAAUUAUCUGAGAAAUACAAAUUCAUGCAUCUAACGUUGUUUAAUAUACUUAUCUAAGUUCUUCUCUAAGCAGUUGUUCUCUCUGGAUCUCCUGUUCUAACUCUUUCUGCAGCUUAUCUAUUUCAGCCUCUGCAGCAGCUUCAGAUUGUGCUUCUGUUGUUCUCUGCUUACAUGCAUUUAUCUUUCCUUGAUAAUCUGAGUGUAUGCAAUGACUUGAAAUUAGUCAUUUAAUACUUUCAAAUUCACAAAUCCAAACAUCUCCCAGUACAAUCAUAAAUUAAUGCUUGAACAAAGACACUUAAUACCAACAUAAUUCCAAUUUCCAACUUAUUUAAUAAGAAAAACAACAUGUAUGUCUGAGGCCAGAGAGAAAUCAUAGGAGCAGGGUUGGGCCCUCGAAAGGAACCAAAGUAGUGGUCUGUUGAGCUAAUCAUUAAACUAGACAAACGUACUGGGCCUCUACAUAUUUUUGCAUUAUAAUUGGCUAAAAGGACUUCAACUCGGAAACAAACUGCACCAAAAGUAGAAAUAUCACCAAAACUAUCAGGAAUAAGUAGGUAAUAGCACCAAUUUUUACACUAUAUAUAGUACAUUCCAAAAAAAUCUCAUGAGGGUUGGCAUGAGAGGAUCCAGAUUCCAGCAGUAGUACUCAUGAAGGUAUAAAAGACAGAGACAGAGACUCCACACUCCCCAAAAUGUUACUAAUAAAAGAAACAUCCAGAAAUCACGAUAUUUUGCAAGAAGAAAUUUUGACCUGACACUCCAGUACGCUAGCAAACAGAAAAUGGUGUUUCAGGUCAACGUUAAGAGACUUAUCCACUAAUAAUUGGUACUAAGAAAAAGAAUCAUCCAGAUGCAAGAACAUUGUAAAGUUUGUCUACAUUGAUUCAAAAUUCCAAUCUUACGCCGAGUUUUUUUUUCACUACAUAGUUUUUAAGGAUCCAGGAAGAUCCUAUUGCGUCGUGGUGACCCUGAGGUUUGAACUAUGCACUGUGGUUCAACUUACAGCCUCAAGGCAGAUGUCCCUUGGGUUCAAUCUUUAAACUAAUUAAACUAAUAAGAAGUUGAUUCAACCCCCAUUUUUCUCUUUCAUUUAAGGAAUGUUACUGAAUGAAACAUCCAAAAAAGAUAUCACUAAAAAGCAAGGUUUCAAGUGUAAAGAAGUAUCUAUAAAGCAGAAGUGCUACGAGGAGUAAAGAAACUGCAUUAAACAGCAAAGCACAUUGUAAACUCAGUCUAUAUCAGAUUAAAAGUUGCAAUCUUUAAGCCAAUGUUUUUUCUCUCUCACAUUGUUCAUAGGAAGUAGGGAAGGUCCAGUCAGGCACUACUAAGCUAGUAUGAGUGACACCACCGAGAUCUGCAGCUUAAAUUGUAACCUCCUGACCAGUAGGUUGUCUCUUGGGAUAAUCCAUUAGCUAAGGGAGCAUUUGGCCAUAAAAUUCAACUUGCAUUUUCAAGAAUUUGAAAAACACCAAAAACUUUCUUCACUCCAAAUCAAUCAUAAAAAUUCAGAAACAACCCAGAAUUUGUAUUCAUGGCCAAACCCAACUCCAAUUUUCAAAUACUCACAAUUUUCAUGGCCAAAUGCUUCAAGUAAACACAGAAAGAGGUUCACUUAGUAACCAUCCUACCAUUUCCAAAACAAAAAUAUCAAAAUUCAACAGUAAGAACAUUAUACACACAAUUCCAAAGGUUCAAUCUUGAAGCUAACUUAUUCUUUAUCACAUAGUCUUAUGACUCUGAGGAUUGGGGAGAUCUCCAACUGAGAAAGAUUCAAACUUUAAGCCACUAAGAAAUUCAAUAAACCCUUAAUUUUACAAAAUUAAAAACGAAAUACAAGAACCCCACCUUGAAUGGAAUUCUGAAGAGCCUGGUACUCAGAUUGGCAGUGUGAUUGAAGGGCAUUAAAUUGCUCUUUACACUGAUUCAAGAAGCUGGCAUCUUUAUCUUCUUUCAAAAACUGAACAAGAUCCUUACUGAAGGAGAUCAGCUUCUCUACAUCCACGUUAUUCGACCCAUCCACCAUUUUCGACCUCUCCAGACCAAAGUUUAGGGCUUUUUUCUCCCUCCGAAUGUAGUAAUUUGAAAGGAAGAAUGAUUAGCGGAGUUCACAGAAAAAUAGAACUCCUCCCUCCCGUAAAAUUAUACUACGUACUUUGUUACGUUUAUUAAGAAAAUAAUUAUUGAUAUAAAUAUUUUAUUAAAUUAUUUUAAAAAAUAAUUUGAUAAAUAAUAUUAUCAUAUUUAAUUUGACUAAUUUUUAAAAUGAAAUGAAAUUAUAUUGAUUUAAUAAUUAAAUAAAUAUUAUAAGUAUUAUAAAUUGCAAUAUCUUACCUAUCAAAUAUGAUGAAAAAUAGUAUUAUAAAUUGCAAUAUCUUACCUAUCAAAUAUGAUGAAAAAUCAGUGAAAUGUGAGUUAAACAUACAUCUUCGUUACAUUUUUAAGUCGAAUUAACCUUUUAGCAUAAAUUUAUGUUUGAUUUUGAUAAUUUAAGUAUAUUUUUAUUAAAAUAUUUUACUAUACUAGAUAAUUGAAGGCCCUAAUAUAAUUAAUUAUCUUUUCAAUUUUAAUUUAAAAUUUUUAUCUAAAUUCAUAUCUUAUUUUAUUAUAUUUUCUAAAAUUUUCUACCAUUUAAAAAAAUUACAAAAAUUCUCUCAGCUACGUUCUUAUCCUCUGUGUACAUCAAUAUCUCCUCUCGGAUACAUCUAUAUUCUCUCUCGACAUCUUCAUCCUCUCUUUAAUAUAUCUCUAUCCUCUCGUGGACACAUCUCUCUCCUUUCAGAUACACCUAUAUUCCCUCUCGAAUACAUUUCUUCCCUCUCUGAUUCAUCCACGAGAUAUGUUUCUGCAAGUUUUCUGAAUAAUAUCGCGACCGAUAUUUUUGCAUUUCUGUUGAUGAAUAUAUGAACUUUUUGUAAUUUAAAAAAGAGUGGAGAUACAAUGUAAUUAACUUUUAACACUAUGAAAAUUUAUGUGGUAUAUUUUUCUGUGCAGUCAAUUUCAAAAGAAUAACGUAUCAAUAUAUUUAAUAACAUUUUGACUUCAAAAUUAUUCAUUUUAUUCUUAGUAAGAUGAUUUAAAAUCAUAUGAACAUCUAUGGCUAGUUUUAAACUACAACAAAAAGUGUUUUUUUUUUAAAAAGAAAAUACUUCAUGUUAAAGUCAAAUAAACAUUACAUAAAUCAAAAUGAACUAACUGACUACAAACUUUAGAUCAAUUUUAUAUUUAUGAAAUUUAAGUUUUUGUAACUAUUUUGCCUUUUAACAAAAUUUAAAAUGAAAAUACUAAAGUUUUUUUCACAAUUAUUUUUAUAGUAAUUUUUUUUAACAAUAUUUUAUCGAUAAUAUCAAAAUUGUAAUAAAACAAGAUAAUAAAAUAACUUAACUUUUUUGAAAUUCAAGUAUUGAUAUCAAUUGAGAAAACAUUUAUUUUAAAGUUAUAAAGCAUUUAUAAUCUAAUAUUUGAUGCGCUCCUUGCCCUCGACGAAUGACACUAAUUUAUCAUAAGAAGUAAAAUCAAAAUUAAAAAGUGUAGCUCACUAUUAUAUGAAAGUCAUUAUGAGUUAAUUGCCACUCGUUAGAAUAUGUCAUAUGUUAAUUGUCAUAAUGAAACAACAUGAAAAUUAUAAGAGAUAAUUUAUUUAUAGUUGAAAAUUAUUUAUAAAAAAUGAAUCACGAAUUAUAUAUCAAAAUAUGUUUAUGUCAUAUACAUAUUAAUGCAAAGAAAUUUCAUACUAUAAAUUUAUUUACUUAUUUUAAUAUGUAAUUUAUUUUAUUAUGAAAAUUUACAAAUUUGAUGUUUUAUGAAUUGGUAUGAAGAUUUUUAUAUGUCUUCAUGGAAAGUAGUUCUUUAUUUUAUAACAUAGAGGAAUAUUACUUAAAAUAAGUUAUCACGUCAAUUAACCAUAUUAGUUGUAAUAUAUUAAUAUAAUUUUUUUAGAAGAACAUCACGUAAAUCAAUUUUCUAGGUCUUGACAAAUCAGUAAUUUUGAAUUACCUUUAGACUUAUAAAAAUCAUUAGUAUGUUGUAAAAACAAAAAUUUAUCCUACAUUUGGUUAAUAGAUAUUUUUGAUUUAAUGAAAAUUUUAUUACUAUAUAAAAAAUAAAUCUAUAAGAAGUGUAAUAUUUCAUUAAAAUAGACUAAUUAUUAGUCUAUAUUCGAAAAAAUUUAAGAAAAAGUGUAAUUGAAAAUGUGUGUUCAUAUUAGAUGUCACGUCAUUAAGAUAAAUAUGACAUUUAGAAAAACAUAUUUGAUUGGUUGGUCAUUACAAAUCUAUUAUCACUUUCUUGAUAUCAUAAUACAGAAACAAACAUUCUAGAAUUUUUAUAAAUUGAUAAAUUUAUCCUUAGUCGUCCUCAACUUAGCUCUUCUAUAUAAUAGAAAAGAAACUGGUAUAUUUUUAAAUGAAAUGUAUCUCUCUCUCAUUAUAUUGAAGCAUGACUGACAAAUUUGUUUACAAAUUAAAAAUUUACAUAGUCUCGUAAUUAGACUUUCUGUUAUAAAUUAUAAUCGUAAAUAUAAAUUUAUUGGAUGCUAAUUAAUAUUUUUAUCUAAAAAUUAUAUUAAAAUUUAAUAAGAAAAAUAUAUUUAGUCCGAAAAUAUAAUACUAACAGGUCGUACAUUCUCUCCGUUAGGGCUUUGAUUUUUUAAUUUUUUUUCUAUUGUCAAUUUUUCUCACUCUCCACUACUACAAUGAAUACUAUGGAUAAACCGGCGAUUUACAGCGACGGCGACGGGGCUACACCAUCAUUGACCGAUCAAUUGUUCGGAGCAGAACAGAAAGAUGAAACAGGAAACUCUUCCCGGCGGCAGAAACAGUCGGAAUUGCAACAAUCUCCAACAUAUUCUUAGGAAUUGAUCAAUGCCAAUCUCUGCAAAAUCUCCGACGGUCUCUCGGCAUUCCAACGAUGCUUUACACCAACAUGAAAUUAAGUCCUUUUGUGCUACACAAUUAUGGUAAAACUCUCACAACAUCCUGCAACAAUAUAUCAUAGUUGAGAUCGAAUCAGACAGAAGAUUCACCCCUCACCCUGACGUUCGGGUAUGGGGAGUUGAGAAGAAGGUGAUUGAAGUCUUCCUUUUAUCCGGAUUAACUCUAUUCUGACGCUAAUUGUGAUUUUGACUCUGAUGUGAUACAUUCCUCUAUUGGAUGGAUGUGACUUGUGACUUUGCUACAUCCAUUCUUCAAUUUUGUUGGCUCGACUUUAUACCAUAAGAUACUGAGAAUAAACUUUUUAUGAGAUUAAUUAAAACCUACUUAAGGAUGAAUGAUUAUAAUUAGAGCUCAUUUGGGUUUUGUUGUUCAUCUUAUACUUCUAAGAUACUUAGAACAAAAUUUUGAAAAAUUUGGUAACAAACAACAAUGUUUAAAGAGUAAUAGAAAAUUAAGACUAACAGAGCAAAUAGAAUGAGAAACUGAUUAGGAACAAUAUAAAAAUCUUUUUCUCAAAGAAAGAAAAUCGAGUUCACUGAAUGCACAAUGUCCCCUUAAAGAAAUUAUUCCCCUCAAGUAUUCGAGGUUAACGGAAUAUAUUCUCCAAGGAUAGAUAGAACAGUCUUACUCACCGGUGUAUCAAUAUCUAAAAUCACUAUGUCAGCGAACCACUCAACGUCAAUAAAGUACACUUUGAAUACUAGAUUUAGUAGUAGUACAACAGGUCUAGAAAAAUUAUGCUCAUAAAAUGUGAGGAAAUUCCUCAAUUUAUAGAAAACAAAGGAUAGUGUGAAAAAAGUUUUUAUUGUGCCUUACCGAAAAUAUCACAAGCAUUUGGAAAAGUCAUAAUCUUUCGAAAAGGUCACUAUCCUUAUUAAUAUGAUUUCAAAAAGGAUGAACUAAAACUUAGAAAUUUUGAAGAAGUUUAAAUGAGAGUAUAAUAGAAUUUUUUUUUCUGUCAUUUCUUGAUUUGUCAAAAUAGACAAGUAAAUAGAGACAUCUAAAAGAAGAAAUAUGGACAAGUAAACAGAGACAAAAACAGUAUGUAUUUAUGCAUAAAAAGAAUAAUUAGGAGUUAGUAUGUUUUAGGAAGAGUAUUUCAGAGAUUAGAAAAUAUAUUAAAGAUAAAAUUAUAAUUUAUGACUUUUUGACUUAUUUUGAUUUAUAAAUAUUUUAGAUAUUGAUAAAACGAAUUAAUAAAUCAAAAAGUGGUCCAAGUAUUUUUAUUUAUUUUUAAUUUGGUAAGGAUAAAGUGGUCCAACUUAUAUGCACUAGUGCUGUUCUAUAUAUAUGAUGGAAUCUCUUAUCUUCAUAUAUUUUGAUGUCUCUCAUUUUUCUUCCUUUAAAUAAAUAUUAACGUUUGACUUGACUUUUAUGUAUUUAUUAUAAGAAAAUAAAGUUAAGGUUCAUUGUAACAUGGUUGAAAAUGGAAAAAUUUAUCCUCACUGGUUGUUUAUAUUAAGUUAAUGUAAAAUGUAUAUAAACUAUAAAUUUAAAUACAGAGCAUGUAUAUAUUGACUUGAUGUAUGUAUUAUUAUUUUAUUUGAUAAAAAAAUAUUUAAAGUAAUGAAUACAUUAUAUAUAUACAUUAUUUAGUAUUUUAUGUAUUAUGAGUGAAGUAAUUGAGAUAUUUGUAUUAUUCAAGAACAAUAAAACAAUUAAAGGUAAAAUUAAAAAAAAAACAAUUUUUAUCUUAAACUUUUAAAAUGACACAUUUUUAAAAAAGACGAAAAAUAUUUCGAGACGGAAAGAGCAAUUAAUUAUGGCACAUUCUAAUCUUAUUGCAUUUGAUUAAAAUAAAUAUAGUAUAAUUUAAUGUAAAUAUUGGAUAUAAGUAAUCUUUCACCAUUUUAUUUUAUGCAUAUAUUGAAUCUUUCACUUAAUAGUAGGUAGUAAUAAGUAACGAUAUCCAUAUAUUUCGAAAGACAAACCAUAUCCAUAAAUUAUCUACUACAAUUUUUUAACAAGAAAGUGUCAAAUGUAUUUCAUUAAAUUAAUAAAGUUUGACUUAAUCGUGAUUAUAAUUGGAGUAAUGAUGUGUUGUCAAUUAAAUUCUUAUAAAAAUAUCUAAUUUUCCUUAUUUUCUCGAUUAAUUUGUAGAUUGGAGUGAUUCAAGACGAAUUUUGUAUAAGUUUAGUAUUUUCGCAUAUUUUUUUUUUAUAAAUUUAAAAAAGAUAUAUAAUCAGAUGCAAUAUAUAUACACGAUAACAAAGGAGAUAUUUUUGUUCAGUCAUGACUAAACAUCUUCAUAUUAUUACAUUAGUUUGAAUUUUUUUUUUGUUCUUAUUUAUGAAAGGGGAGUCCUGAAAAGUAAUAAAGUUGUCUUGGUGUGAUCUAUAGGUUACGAAUUUAAAUUAUGAAAGCAAUUUAUUAAUAUUUGUAUUAGAAUAAACCGUUUAUAUACAACACAUUCUUUUCUCAAAUUUUUAUAAAUACAAAAUAUUUUGGGCAUCUGGUGUUAUUCUUAUUUAUAUGUAUUAGAAUUGCUCAAGAAUAUUUAUGGUCCAAGACUUAGCUUUUUGAGACAUUUCAUUAGAUAAUAAUGUUGUCAUAUCUAGUCAUUUUUCAUUUUAUUUUCCUCUCUUAUGCACUCAAUUUGCCUUAUCAAAUGAAUAAAACGUUGAUCAUUAACUUUGAUUUUAUUAAAAAUAUAUCUUAUUGUUCAUGAUUAAAUAAUUAUAUUUCAAUUUUUUUUAUCUCUCUAAUAUUCCACGCAGUAUAAUUAUUUUAUUUCAUAGACUUGGUCGAUUACUUGUGAAGUUUAAUGCAUAGUAGCCAUAUUAAAAUACAACGUUUUAAAAUUAGACAAUUCAUUAGUAUAUUUUAUUUGUAGAUUUUGAGAAUUUGUUUUAACUUUAUAAAAUAAAAAUAGAAAUAAUUGAAUAUAGGAAAUGCAAAGAACUAUACCCAGUCAAAUUUUCUAAAAAUAAAAUAAAAUAUAAAUGGAACCGCAAGGGGUUGUAACGAGGUGUCGGUAAGAGAUAGAAUUUAAUUUUUUUCGCCAAAAAAUUAUAUUACGUACGUAUAACAAAAUUAAUUUCUUUGUAGGUCGUUAUGACUAUAUAUAUCUUUAUAUUUUGUGUUUUGAGUUUUUAUUCGUAAUUCAGUAUUUAUGAGUUUAGAGUCAAUAGAGCAAAGCGAUUGUCAAUAAUUUCAAAAGGGCAGAUCAAUUUUCUUUUUAACUGCAAGGGCAAAACGCUUCGUCAUGAGCGAUUUUUUUAUGAGAAAAUUGACCCUGUUACUCGAUUAAAAAACAUAAAAGUCGCUGCCAAAUUUCGUCCAAAGUCUUUUCUUUUAUUAGAAUCGCUACUGUGACAGGAUAAUGAUUAAAAUUUUUGGAAAAAUAAAUGAAUCUUUCGGUCUACCCCCAAAGUGAAGAAAAUGUACUAAUUCUACUCAAUUGCCUUUUACUUUAAAAUAAUAAAAUUACUGAUUUUUUUUACAAAAAAUGUUGCUUUCUUCGAGGCAUCAAUAUGUUUAAAAUUUUUUAAAACGAAUUAAUGUUAUUGCUGCCUUGCAAGCGAUUUAACAAAAAAAGUUCAAACUUUUUAAAGAAAAUCGUUGUUACAGUGACGAUUUGAAUUUUAAAAAGUAUUUUUUUGGAGAAAAAUGCUGCAGGGACAGCGAUGUUUAAAAGAAAAAAAAGGAUAAGAUCGCUGCUUCAGUAGUGAUUUUUAUGUAAUGACAUCAAUUUUGUGAGAAGAAAAUUCCUCUGUGAAAAGCUAUUUUAUCAUUUUGGUUAAAAAAAUUGAUGUUCCAUUUUGAGAUUUUGGACAAUUUUUUUUUACUUGUUUAACUUCGAACUCCAAUAUUUAUAUUAAAGUAAAAUUAAAAUUUAAAUUCUUGCAAGAUUUAUUUUUUAAAGUAAUGCAGAUUAUUUUCACUUGCCACUACUUUUGUGUUUAUUUUAAUUUCACCUCUUGUAAUAUAAAGAAACUAUUUGCAAAAUGUAAUAUAUUUUCAUAUUAUAAUAUAUUAUAGAUUAUGCAUGCAUAACUUUUUUCUUUGAACUUAUGGUUUAUUAAAUAUAAACGCCAUUGCUAAAAAGAAAAAAUAAAAACUAAUUAGGCCACUCUCUUCAAUACUCAAAGUCUCAAACUAUUAUUAGUGUUUUUUUUUUUGUGAAGUGAUCAUAAAACCCCACUAAAUUUAAAUGUGCUUUUAGAAAUUAAAAUUAAUGAAGAGAGUUUUUAUGUAUUCUUUCUUUCUCUCUCUCUAUAUAUUAAUUUUGUCCUUAAUUAUUUGUUCGCUUUUCAUUUUUUGGUUAUCUCUAAUUAUUUAUUUAUUUUUACAAAUUAAGAAAUGAUAAUUUUUCUUAUCUAUUAUAUCCUUAAUUAAUUACUUUGUAAAUGAUAAAAUAUUUUAAAUAUCUUAUAUUAUUAAUUUAUUUACUACAUAAUUAAUAGGAGUAAAAUAAUAUAUUCACUAUGUCAAUAGUUAUUUUCUUAGUAGAUGAUGUGUGAAUUCCAAAAUCAACAAGUAAUUACAGAUAGAGAUAUUAUAAAAUAAAAGAGUAAAUAUUACUUAAAUAUUUUUUAAUGAUAUAAAUGAAAGUAAAAAAAGUAGUAGAAGUAAUAAAUAAUCAAACUUCCUUUUAAUGGAGUAAUCAUUUUAAGAAAUGUGUAAUAAAAGAAAACACAAAAAUAAUUUGAGAUGGAUAAAAUAUAUACUUUUUUGGUUCGGUACUGUUUGUUAUUGCGCUUUUCAAAAAUUAAUUUGAUUAAUAUUUAAAGUUAAAUUAAAUCACAUUAAUUUGAUAUUUUAAACAAAAAAGAUUAGAUAUUCUAAAAUAAUAUGAAAAGUACUAUAAAUUGAUUUUUUUUUGAAUAUCAUUAUGAUGAAAAAUACAUCUUAAAAUAUGAAUCAAAUUUUUAUAAUUUGACUCUAAAAUAGAAAUCAUGACAAAUAAUAGCAGACGAAGGGAGUAUGUAAUAAUAGUAAGUACUCCAUUCUGAAUUAAGAGGUUUUAAACUUGAGUUUUUUUAAAAUAAAAUUAUUUUUAUUAAAAAUAAUUUUUUUUGAUGUAAAUUCAAAUUUAUUACGUGGUGGGGUUAGCCAAAGUCGAUAGGAUGACACUAAAUUAAGGGCAUUUAUCAACUUUAAUAAAUAAAGGGAUAAUGUCCAAGUACCCCUCAACCUAUGACCGAAAUUUCAGAGACACACUUAUACUAUACUAAGGUCCUAUUACCCCUGAACUUAUUUAUUAAUAAUUUUUUACCCUUUUUAGUCUACGUGACACUAUCUGGUGGGCUCAACGAUGGUUGACUUUUUGUUUCAAACUAGUGCCACGUAGGCUAAAAAAGGGUAGAAAAUUACUUAUAAAAUAAGUUCACGGGGUAAUAGGACCUUAGUAUAGUAUAAGUGUGUCUCUGAAAUUUCGGGCAUAAGUUGAGAAGGUACUCGUACAUUUUCCCUUAAAUAAAUAAUGUUACCUUACGUGAAACAAAAAAAAAAAAAAAGCAAAAAUUUGACUCUUAUUUGGAUACAUGAAUUUGCCCCAAAAGACAACCUUUUACUUUAUUCUAGUUUUCAAAGUUCAUAAGAGUUCACACCACAAGAUGUCACAAAUUUUCCAAAUCAGUCUGCUCACCUGCUUUCUAUUUCUCGUAGAAUUUUCUCACGACUAAAUAUUUUUUAAAAAAACAAUUCUCUAAAAAUUUAAAAGGAAAAGGUUCAAGUAUUUCAUUAAAUUUUAUGAAAUGAUUUUAAUUUCAUUGUUCGAAAUAAAAUAUUAUUGAUAUAUAGUAAAAACUAAUGAGAAAUGGAGAGAAGUUGAAAUGAAGAAAUUUGAAGUGUUUUCUCGUGCUUUAGUAAUAACAAUUAUUUUUUAUUGAUGGUGAAAAGAAAAAUUCGAGUGCUUUAAUAAGAAAAAACACUUUUACUUAUUGUUAAAAGGAUAAAAAAGAGGAACCCCUCAUGCUUAUACACCUUUUGGAAGAUUGCAAACUUUCAUAAACAUAUGCUCCCGUUGAGUAGCAUAAUUAAAUAUCCUUGCACGUAUGUAUCAAUACGCUAUUAGUAGUAUUUGUUAGUAUAGACAUAACAAAUAUGUUCUUAUCGCUAUUAGUAGUAUUUGUUAGUAUAGACUACAUAACAAAUAUGUUCUUUAUCGUCAGUGUUUUAAAAAACAUUUUUUGGGCGGGCAUAUAAAAAACGCUCUAGGGCGUAAAUUAAAAAGUAAGUCCUUGAAGUAAAAACAUACGCUCGGGUUCAGGUGUUUCUUUUUUAAUUUUUUUACUUUAAAUCAUAUUUUUAUUAUUGGUUUAAUUAUAUUUCUCAAAUAAUAAUUUUAAACUUUUUAUUCAUUAUUGAUUAUUGAUUUAUCACAAAUAAAAAUCAUAAAUCAUUAAAAUAUUUACUUUUGCUUAUUUUAUUAAUAAUAAAACUAUAAAUUUGAAUAUACAUGAGAGUACGUCCCUGUGUAUCGAAGCUUACGCCUCGCUCCUCACCGUACAAAACGUCUCACCUCAUGCCUUCGCCUUUUUAAUUACUGUUUAUCGCUAUCGUAUUAGUCUCUUUUUUACUAAUAACAUAAGCUUACUAAGUAAUGACUCUUUUUUUCCAAGUUCAAUUAUAAAUUUAUAUCAUUUUGUAACCAAAUUUGAACCCUUUCACAAAGGUUCAAUAACAAUAUUUGAACCUUAACAAUAAUACCAAUCCAAGAACCCCCACUCUUAACUCACUGAGCUUAACCACACCAGAUUCUGAUCCUUUACCCCACCCCCUACUCACCCCCCUACCCCACAAAACCGCGGGGGUAUUUCUUCACUUUUUCUCUUGGCAAUGUCUUAUUCGACUCUUAAGGUCCUCCUCUAUUUUCUCCCCAAUUCUUAGAGUUGCCCCUUGUCAAUUUUGUCUACUAGGGUUUCAAUUUUUUCUAUAAUUACAGCUUCAGAUUCAUUGAUUAAGGGGAUAUACUAUUGAUUUGUGAAGUGGGUGUUGAGAUUAUUUUGUGGAUUUGAAGAAAAAUGAAGGUUUUGAUGGAUUCAGUAGCAGCAGCUGCAUCAUCAUCGCCUUGUAAAGAGGUGAAGGUAUCGGAAUGUUUUGGAGAAAAUAGUGUUUUUCCACCUGGGUUUAGGUUUCAUCCGACAGAUGAGGAGCUUGUUCUGUACUACUUGAAGAGGAAGAUCUGUAGGCGCCGGAUUUUGCUUGAUGCGAUUGGAGAGACGGAUGUGUACAAGUGGGAGCCAGAGGAUUUGCCUGGUAUGAAUUCUUGGAUUUUGUUGUGAUCUUUUUUUUUAAAAAAAAUGAGAUUUUGAUGUGGUUUUUGGGUCGUUGACUUGAUUUGAUCAUAUGGGUAGCUGGGUUUUUGGAGGGUUUUGGCGUGUGAAGUGUUUUUCUGGUAGUGUUUUUGAGUUAUGUGAUUUUACUUUUGAGGAUUGUGAUUUAUCUGGUUGCUGUAUUUUUUUUUUCUGGAGUUUGUGUGUGUUGACUUUGUUGUUUGGGCUCUAAAGUUGUCAUUUUGCUUUAUUGGAUUUUCUGUGUGGAUGAAGGCGAGUACUAGUCGACGGAUCAUAUGUGCUUUCUUAAAUAUUAGUAUAUUUUUAGAAGAAAUGUUUGUGUCAUGGCUCUAGGAUGUGGAAUAGAACUUGUUUUAUAGUUGAGUUUUCUAGUUUCUUGUUAGGUUAUUGUGUUAUGUGUGUUUAUUUGAUAGAUAUUUUUUUGGGGAAUAAGUAAAAUCACAAAAUGUGCUUUUGGCAUAAUUCUUGAGUUUCCAGGGCUUUUCUGCUACUAUAGCUGAGUGUUUUUUGUUUGUUUUGGUGGGCGGGUGGGGUAUCUAGGUUCUAUUUUGAGUCUUGCAUGUUUGUUGUGCAUAUUGUGGUUGAAUUUUGUGUGGAGAUCUCUAAGACAUAUUUAAGCUCUUGGUAGGUGGUUAUUUAUGAAAGAUCAGAGAGGAAUUAUUAUUGUCAGCACUUAACAUGUAUUUAAGUGUAUUUAUAAUUCUUCAACAGAAAUGAUCAUGUUCCAUGUAUAGCUUUUGCAUUCUAAAUUCCUCCUGUUUCUUUUUGUUUGAUAGCCUUUUUCUCUUCUAGUCUCUGAUGUUAAUUGGUGCUGAUUGAUAGUCAUAAUUUGGGUUGAUAGACUUGUGACAAUGUUUGAAUUUUUUAUAUUCUUAACUGACUGUUUCUUUUACGAAUUGAAAUUGCAGAUUUAUCUAAUUCUUUAGCAAAUUUGAAUUGCAGAUUUGUCCAAGUUAAAAACUGGGGACAGGCAGUGGUUCUUCUUUAGUCCCAGAGAUCGAAAAUAUCCCAAUGGAGCACGGUCAAACAGGGCAUCAAAGCACGGGUAUUGGAAAGCUACUGGAAAAGAUCGUAUUAUUACAUGCAACUCUCGUGCUGUUGGAGUCAAGAAGACGCUGGUCUUUUAUAAAGGGCGAGCGCCAGUAGGUGAACGGACAGAUUGGGUGAUGCAUGAGUACACCAUGGAUGAAGAAGAGCUGAAGAGAUGCCAGAAUGUGCAGGACUACUAUGCACUUUACAAGGUCUUCAAGAAGAGUGGGCCUGGCCCCAAGAAUGGUGAGCAAUAUGGUGCACCUUUUAGAGAAGAGGACUGGCUUGAUGAUGAGCGCCUAAAUGCCAAAGUCUCUGUACAGCCGGAGAGCCCGAGAGAUCAGGAGAAUACUGCAAAGAACAUUAAUGUAGUUCCUGAUCCUGAUGAUGCAAUUGAGGAAUUGCUGAAGCGUCCUUUUACUGUAGAUAACAAUUUUGCAUUGGAGCAGUUUGUUCAAGAGGAAGAUACUGAAAGCACCUUGCUAAAUCAGUCUUCGAGGGAUGUGAAUUUAUACAAUCAUUGUGCUGUCGCUGGGCCAAGCUGCCAGCAGUAUAAUGCGAGGGCGAGCUUUGAUCUGACAGAGUCAGGCACAUCACCAUUACAUUUGCAUGAGGCACCAGAAGUCUCAUCUGCUCCGGUGAAUCCUGAAAAGCCCCCAUACGCGGUGGAAGAGGAUUUCUUGGAAGAUUUUUUGGAGAUGGAUGACCUCCUUGUUGUCGAUCCAAAUGUUCAAAACUUUGAUCACGGAACCCCAAAUGGUCAAGUCUUUGACAAACCUGCUGGAAACCUGGAGACUCUGCAGUUUGAUGACUUUGAUGGCUUAUCAGAGUUUGACCUGUAUCAUGAUGCACCUUCACUUCUUGAUAAUGUGGGGACACCAGUAGUGGGGCAAAUUGCUGAACCAUACAUGAACAACUUUGUGAACGGAAUUACAUAUCCUGACUCAACUACAUACAUGAGCGCUUUCCAAAAUGACAUGAUGAACAACCAGCAGAUGCGCUUGAAUCAUGAAAAUCAGAUAAACAAUCAAUUUUGGAUGCAUGAUGAAAGAUUCGGCGUCUUCAACCCCAUUGAAGGAGAUCAAUCAGUUGUUGAUCAAUCAUCUUCAGGUAUUCAAAGAACUCCAUAUAGCAAUGCUGCUAGUUUUGCUUGGCUAAUGCCAUAAUGUUAUCAUACUUCUCAGAUUUGUAUAAACACAUUGUUUUAUGUUAUCUGACUUGCUUGAGCUCUUGAACAGAUGGAUGGUAUUGAAUAACCAUGUCAUCUUCAGUAAGGCAAGAACUCUUUUGCCCAAGUGGAAAUGGGGGAGUUUGAGCCAAGCUUCAAGAGCUCGUCUGCUUUUAAUAUUGGUGUUAGAUUUUUUUUUCUAACUUUAGCAAGUUUUGGCAAUGUCUAGGUGUGGUAAAUGAUAAUAAUAUGGCAAAUUAUCCUAUGGGCGCUAAUCAAAAUCUAGCCAAAAAGGAUGAUGGUACGCAGUCGUGGUUCUCCUCUAAUUUGUGGGCUUUCGUGGAUUCUAUACCCACAACUCCUGCUUCAGCUGCUGAAAGUGCUCUUGUAGUUAACAGGGCCUUUGAGCGUAUGUCUAGCUUUAGUAGAAUGAAAUUAAAUGUCGGGAACAUGAAUGUUGCUGCAGGUAAUGCCUCUGCAACUUCAAGUAGUUCUGGCAAAGGCAAAUAUGGAUUAUGUUGUAUUUCUUUACUUGGAGUACUUUGUGCAUUCUUGUGGGUGGUAAUAGGAACUUCCGCUAAAAUCGCGGGGACAUAGAUGAUAUUCUCAUAAACAUGUGCAGAGUUUUCUUUUGCUAUUUAUCAUCUGGCUUUUUGCCAGAAUCAAUGGAAAGGUGAGCAUAUAUCUUACAAAUAAUUGGAGAUCAUACUUGAUAUAUGAUUUAUCUCAUUUCUCCUCCCUCCAAAUUGGACAUCCUUUGUCGGAAAAAGGUAUCAAUUAAAUGAUACAUGGAGUGAUGAAAUAACCUACUUUGACAACCCUUAACCUAAUAAGUUGUUAUAGCGUAGUGAUUUCAGACUAUCUCAAAUGAGGUAGCUUCGAAUCUCGUUAGUUGCAUAAUUCCUGGACCUCUUUCAUUAAAUUCCUGGGGAUGUCAUGGAGGCAUAUAGAUUACAUUUGGUUGGGUAAAUGGACUUCAUAACGCAUUGCCCGAAUAGUUUAGUUGUAUUUGGAAUAUUUCAGUCGCUGGGGUAUCAAAGAAUAUGCAAUGAUUCUCCAUCAAAGACGCCCUUUCGGGUGGCUCAGCGAUUUGAACUUGAGACUACGAUGUUGGAGGUGUUAAGUUCAAAACGUUUUGCCAGCGAAAAUAAGGGGCUUGCCUUUUGGGUCGAGCCGUGGUAUCGGGGUUAUGUAGUGUGGGUUAUCUCUCCUAUGUGGUUUUACCUUGUGCGCACCCAAAGGUAGUGGCUGCGGGUUUUUCUUGUCCUAAAGAAAUGUCUUAAGUGACGAAUAAAUUGCAGAUAAUUAUGUAGUACUACCACGAUUUUAAUUUGUUUGUAUUACUUUUCUUUGUAGUCUCUUUAAAAUAGAAUCCAUCUUUUCUUUUUUAGCCAAUCUUUAUAUUCAAACUUUUCACAUAACACAUUUAAGAUUACAAAAUUAAAUAACUUUUUGGUUUAUGUGAUGUAUUUUUAUUUAAGCUAGAAGAUUUAUUUUUUUUACUUAAAUUUUGUGCUAAAUCAAAAUAGACAAGUAAAAUAAAUUGAAACGAAGGCAGUACCAGUUAUUGAUGUAAGUUGUAUGAACAUAACAUGGACUAACAAGUUGCCGACCUUCAAACUACAUUACUCUUUUAUGUAAUUUCUAGUUUCUCAAAGACAUAAUUUGACUGCACAAAUAUAAGUUUGAUUUUUGACCUGUUUUUAAUUCUUUUUUUUUUUGAAAGUUCAAUAAUUUGUGGUAAAUUUUCUUGAAUUAAGACUAGUACGACAAAAUCCAAUAGUGUCCAGUCAGACAUUUGUGUUUCAUGAUAUAUUGCAUGCUUUAUGUAGAUUUCUCUGGCGAUGGACGAAAUUGGCCUGUUGAGCACUACACAAAUAUAUGAUCGCGUUUGCUAAUGGCAAUUAACGUUGAAUCUAGUCCGUUUAUAUCUUGGAAAUAAAAAAGUCUUUCGAGUUGAGGGUCUAUUAGAAAUAACUAUCUACCCUGCAAAGAUAGAGUAAAGUCUGUUUACAUUUUACCUCUUUCUCAGACUGCACCGAUGGGAUCAUAAUGUGUAUGUAUGGUUCUUGUGAAUAAACUAAAAAGAAAGACAAAUGCCAUUUCUGUCAACAUAAACACUCUGUAAUAGAAGUCUGGCCAACGCCGUCGGUCUCAGUGUAUGCAUCAUCGAGCAAAAUAAUCAGCCAGUCCAACGCUAUAUUCCUUGGGGAAGGCGGUCUCUUCCCUUCUCCAGCCAGGCACAAAUGGCACAUUUCAGCUAGUUCUAAAGUCUAAUGCUACAAGAAUUUUUUUUUUAAGUAGUGUAUUGUAAUAGGAGAAUUACAACAUUUUGCCUUCAUAUAUACUAUAUUUCGUACAACCUAUAUAUAUUUCUAGACUUCUGUAUUUCUUGCAAAUGCAUAGUUUCAAGAACUGAUCUUCUCCGCCUUUUAAGAUAAAAUCGACCAAGAUCUCUUCAUUUAGGAGUUAGGACUGGCAAGCUUGAUUAAUAAUUGGAAAAUCCACAAACCAAAAUGUUCUGUGAGGAGUACCAAUAUAGAAUAUCUUGCUUUUUCCAUGAUAAGCUGAAAUAUUUCACAAGAAUACCCUCUUUAACGUCCUUGCAGCGACUCGGGAAGCCAGCUUUCCAGCGAAAUCAGCAGGCAAGCGAAGUAACUGUUGUUGCAUCUCUUGUGGAAGCUGCAAAAUAUAAAGUCAGACUCUCAAUGCUGGUUUAGUUUCCAAAGCCUAUCUAUAUACCAAUUGACCCGUAUAUACAUUUGCUGAUUAAGGCAGUAAUGAGAAGACAAAUUUGAAAAUAUAAGCCAUCAAAAUGGAAUAAUCACCGUUACAAAAUUCUCUGUACACCUUUUCUCUGAGAGCAAUCACACACUCAAAAAUAGACUUGUACAGCUUCGUAAGUAACUGGUGGAAAAUAAUGUUUAGUGUAAGGGAGGUAAAAAAGGGGGUGCGCUGUGCGCUCAAUUUUCUGAAGUUAAAGCCCAUAUGGCAUUUUUUUUUUAACAAUAAACACCAUCCAAAGACUGGAUUAAAAUUCUAUCAUACAAAUGCGACCAAUCAUAAAAUUGGUUUUGUAUCAUGGAGAUAAUAAAUCUCGUGAGCUUUACCUCAGGUAAAACUGAAAGGAGGGGUAGAUAUUCUUGGACAGCUUCAAAUUGCUGAAGAGGUGCUCCGUUUAAAAAUAUCAUCUGCUUGUUGGAUGUUCUAACUCCAUUAACCUUCUACAAAGAAUAAAUUAGGAGUCACAAUUUACUAACAUAUCAAGUAAUCGUGCAAUAACAAUAAACAUCAAUUUGGCAAUGAAUGAAUGAUCAAUAAUGGGGUAUCCGUAGUUAAACCAAGUAUUACAGAUGCACAGGACUUAUGGAUAUUAGAUAGCAUAACAAUUCAGUAGCUGGGAGAUUAUCCAUUCACAGAAUAAGUAACUAGCCUAGAAGCUUGGAGACCAGAAUUGGUGAUAAUUUUAAUUUUCUUUUAUGACAAGGGAAAUCCGCAGCCGCUACAAAGGUACGCACAGGGUUGAACCCCCGCUCUUAUGCAAUAACUUGCAAACCACAUAGGAGAGGUAACCCCUCGACCCAGAAGGCGAACCCUUUGCUUUCGCUGGCUAGGGGUUUCGAACUUGAGCCCUCCAAUAUGGAAGUCCCAAGCCCGAACCACUGGGCCACCCUGAAGGGUAUUGGUGAUAAUGUGAAGUGACAUUCUAAGCUGGCAAAGAAAAUUUGUCCAUAUAUAUUCUAGCACGCAUCAAGAAAUAAAUAUGAUGAGUGGUGUCAUAAUAGUAAGCAAGGCAAGCAAUUGGUAUUUAAGGGGAGCCACAUAAAUAUUUGCAAAGAAAUUAAGGCAUUCCGAAAGAAAUGUAAGAUAUGUGAUAACAAGCUAAUGUAACUAAGUUACUGGAUUCUAAUCAUUUAACUGAUGCUUUCUCUGGUGUCUCUAAGCUCCAAUAUCUAGUUGUUCAUGUAUCUGAAUGUUUUCCCUUUGAGAAGACAUGCAUGUUAUGGGAGUAAAAUGUGGAUAGUCUCUCUCUAAUAUCAAAAGUGGAAAACAGGGUAAAUAUUAACAUGCAUGCAAAUCCAUAUCAACACUUUCUACAGAUAUUUUCCAAUAAUGGAGGAGCAAUUAACAUCAUGAAGGUUUUAUAUGCAUUCAUUUUAUUAGCAAGAUUCUCUUACCAUGCUGGGGUUCUCAUUUUCUUGGAGUCCUGAUAUCAACAGUAAUAGACGUUGCAAAUUUCUAAGAUUAGUAAUAUCUUCAUCAGUCAUUGAAGAUGGUUGGGAUGGAUAGAACGGUAAUGUAGUUGCAACUGCAUUUGUUACUGAAUCGACAGUUGCAACACCAAGUGCAACCAUACCCUGUAAAUUAGGAUAAAUAGUAAAUUCCAAAUACAACCACCAGAUGACUUGAAUGACAGUACACCCUACUUUUGGAAAUUUUGGAUACACCAGCGGAAACUCAACAAACACAGAAAAGGAAUUACGUUAGCUACUUCUCAAAACAUCAAACAUGAAGUGGCAAUUCACCAAUUUGAGUUUCCUAUAUUACUUGCAUUAGCAUUUAGGUACCACUUCAAACUGCUGAAGGCAUACUCUCAACAUCAAAAGCACCGAUUUCUGGAACUACACUUGAUAUUUUUAGUUUCCAUGUCAUGUUCACUGGUUAAGCAGAUUCUAACUUUCUAAAAGGUAUUGGGUCUUGCAUUUUCAUCCACAAAUCACCAGCAUGAUAGCAAAACCUCUCUUCAACUUUCCUUUUUCUAUAUUUUUUCUAGGUACUUCUCCUGGAACUAUUUUUUUUUUUUGGAAAAGAAUAAAGAUGAGAACGCUCAAUUGUCAAAAAUAUCUGAAUUAGAAACACCAACCAGAUACGACUGCUACUAAUUCAAACCAGUUAGUAUUCAUAAUAAUCCGAUGACUUCAAAAAAAUUGACUUAAACAUAAUGAAACUGAAACUUCCUAAAGAAUUAAGCAAUUAUAGUAUUCAUCACCUGUUUGAAUUUAGUAAAAAUAAGGUGCUGAGCAUUCCUAAGAAGUUUGCUUGCAUCCUUGUAAUAUUAAAACACGAGUCCAUACCUUAGAAAAUUCCUCAAGUAGAAUUUCCCUGAUAAAGGCACCCUGAAGAUAAAAAAAUGAAUUAAUAAGUAGUGUGCGUAUUUUUUUCUUCCCUUUUUCCUGGAUGUAUCCAGCCUCUGGUCUGUUUGAAAGUGCAAUAUUUUCUGAGAUAGAAUACCUUAUCAUCCAGUGUAAAAGAAAGAAUUUGCUUGAUAAUGACCUUCGAAUCAAUCCCACCAUUUUGAUUCUCUAUCAGGGUUCUUUCUGUCUUGGCACGGAGAGACUGUUACGAAGAGAGAUUCAGGAUCUACGCUUGUAUAUCAGAAACAAAAAGCUAAUAUGGUGAAACAAUUUCCUCGUAUAUAACUCAAAUAUCAAGAAAAACAAGAAUUCAGCUGUGGCUUCAUUCACUCUGUAACUGUCAGGUGUAUGCUUACAAAAUACAAAAGUGAUGUGUACAAACAUAUCAAAAAGCUUACCUCUGAUAAGAGAGACUCUAGUCGAUCAAUCCUGAACUGACCAUCCUAUAAUCAAAAUUCAAAGCAUGGAGUUAUAGUUUAUCAUGACUACAUAAACAGUUGAACUUGAAAUCAUUAAUUUUUAAGUAGAAUAGCAUCGGCAACCAGUAAAACUUCUGUAUACUGUCUCAGGCUUCAAGUUUGAUAUUUCUCUACCUAACGGUGAAUAAAUUAGUCUUACAAUUUCCUUUUCAGAAGAGAGGCCCUUCAAAGUAUUCAUAGUUAGUUGGAAUCAAGCGUGUAUCAAGUACUAUGUUUAAUAAUGACAACAGCAAAGAACAGCAUAGCAAAGAAAGUCAUUGCCAGCAUAGCUACAUCCAUACACGAUGGGAACCUAGCUUGUUGCCCAUCAUUUUGAACAUAUAAAACAAUCCAUUGUUUCUGUAACAUGCCGAAGAAGAAACAGUUCCGUUUUGUGGACAAUGAACAGUGUGACAUACUUGAAUAUUCAUUUCCAAUUAAAUCAUUUGAAUUCAUGAAUACAACUAGUCGACUACUAAAGAUUUAUAACUUUUUCCUCCACUAGCAAGGAUAAUUGUUAGUGGUUUGGCUGUGGCACCAAAAAUCAAAAUGGAGGUCAGAAAUCUGAACUAGUAAGAAGUCUGUCAAGUUGCUUCAGCAAGAGGAAGGCUGCAAGUAGGUGUUAAGAAAGAGAAUGAGAGACCUCUUUUGCGUGUACCUUAUAAAGAAGUGCUCUUAAAGAAGCUUUUAGUUUCGGUGAGCUAUCAGUUAGUACUUUUCUAGCAAUCCAUGGGUAUGUACUGCCCAGGACUUUGUAUUCUGGGUUGAUGCCAAUAGCAAUGCCCUCCAACACAGCAAGGCUAGAUGUCUCAAAAUUACCAGUGAAAAUCAUCAGCCACCAACAAAAUAAACGAGAUCAAGCAAAUACAAAACAAAAAUUAAUCUCUAAUAAUUCUUUUUGUUGAGAAACUUUUCACGCAAAAUUACCUUCGGAUGACAAGAGAGAAAUAAGAAGGUAUUUGAAACUUAAAUUUGUACCUGUAAUCAAAGAGUUCCGCAAAACUUAUCAGAAAAAUACAAAUCAUAAUCAUAUAGAGUCAUCAUAAGAAAAAUCAUAUAUCUGCUAAAGCCUUAUCGAGACAACAAAGACUCUCUAAACAUAAUCAUCAGUGAUUUCAACAUGAAUGCCAAGGUUCCCCAGAUGUUAACGUGCAACAUGCACACAACUCCCCAUGGUAAAACUUUGGUUUCCAGAGAUGAUUGAAGAACCCCUUCAUCUCGACACAGCAAUGACCAAAACCUUUAGUACUACUGAUGUGGAAAGUUGAUCAAUAGUGAGAACGAGAAGACUACUUCUAUGACCUCAAACUCUUUGCAUAUCCAUACAUCAUCCAAAAGAAGAAGAUAAUGAGACCAGAAAGAUUCUAGAUAAGCAUCAGACUGAGACAAAAUUAAAUAAAUCUGAUUCUGCAAUUGGAGGGAUGAUGCAUGGCAUAAGCAAAAGAAAGCAAAGUCCCCAGUUGAAUGACCUUCUAGCAGUGGACCAAGCAUUACUUCACCAAGAAGCUUUUUUCAACAGCGGGUAUCCCAGCCUGCUUGUAUUCACUCAAUUAAUCCACCAAUACCUACUAUGUCCCACCAGUUAAACCCUUCUCUCACAGUUUAUGCAAAUGAGAAGAACUCACUAAUUUUGAGUCUGCUGAAUUUCCUAAGGUUGUCACUCCAACUUUUCAAACUGAUAACCCAACCCUUUGGUGGCAUUUUAAGAAAAUAAUUCUUUUUCAUUAUCAAAGUAAUUUAUUCAUCACAUUAUAAACUACCUACCCGAGAUAUUACUUCUUCUCUGGAUGAUUACUGAAAGCGGUGGUCAUCUACCCGAGAGAGUGUCAGCAUAUGCUGUUAAAGCUUUGCAUUCUUCAAUAAUCAAAAGAGCCAUUAAGGUUAACUAGGAUGGUUUCUUAUUGUGGAUAUCAUUUAGCAAUGAAAUAAUAAAAAAAUUAAAACCAAAAAAUCUAUUAUGACAUCAUCACUCAACAUAAAUGAAACUUUUCUGAUUACCGUGUUCAUACAUUUAAUGUAAGGAGUAUAAGCAUCAAAUGGAAUUCUAAUUCUGUUUAUCAUUAUUCACUAGUUCCUCCUUUUUCAUUAUGCAUUCAGGCAAAGCCUAUUCUCUCUUCAGAUUUUGAUGGUACAAGCACAAGGAUUAGUAUCUCAGUAAUCUAUCAGAUCACCCAGAUCAAGGUUGACCAAUCAGAUAAUGUUCGGUGAAUUAGACUAAGAUCAAUGCCUUAAGACACAUCGUUCAAAUAAGUUGCUUCCUUCUUGUGUUUUUAUUUAAAGAAGUUCCCCCUCCUCUGGGCUUAUCCUCAUCAUAGAAAACUCCAUAAAAUAUACAUCUUCUGUACCAACUUAGAAGAUAGAUGUGAUUUAAGCAUAAGUGAAAUACCACCAAAUUACAUCACAUAAUAGAAGGUAAUACAGAAAACAAAAUACAUUUUAAUUUCUGUCGGAGAGAAGAAAUCAUGAAAAGAGCUUACAUGGUGAAUCCCAGAUCUCCGAGAAGAUCCCCAAAACUCACAUUGCGGACUCCUUUGGCUACAGCAUCCCGAAAAACACCUAAAGGGGAAAUUCAUAUCAGUAAAGAAGAAUACAACAACUAGAUUACUUUCUAGGUCUAGAAUUUAACUGUAUAUAGCUAAUAAUGUCAAUAUAAAGGAAAAAACCUGUUAGGGCUUCUGUAACGGCAACUUUGUCACUUGUGGGCGGAAUGAGCCUGUCAAUGAUAAUAUAUUGUAUCAACACUAAAUAAUUCUAAUAUCAAGAAGUGACCUCUCAUUCAGUAGUGAAGAUAUUAAUAAUACCCAAGAGUGACAAAAUCCUUGGCCAAUGCACUGUAAUCACGAUUCACUAGAUGGAGACAUGCUUCAAUGAAACCAUCACGAUAUUCUUGUUUGAAUUCACCCAUCAUACCGAAAUCUGGGAUUAAGAGAAAUUUUAGGUACAACAAAUUGAUGAUAGGUAGCUAUAAGGUACUCAACUAGGAUAAAGUAAUCAAAUUUCCAUGAGACUAAUUGUUAAGAAAAUGGACCUUGGGUCUAAGCUCAACCCAAAGCUAGAUCAAGUGGUGAGCAUUUAUCAAGACCAUAUUACAGCCAACACAGUUAAUCAAUGUGAAAUUCUAACCCCCUCUCCCUCAAACCGGACAUCUGGAGCUUGGAGUAUUAUAACUUGGGUAGUUCAAAAUUUGGAUAACCCAACAUCACCAAUAGGGUUGGCCCUAAUACUAUGUUGAGAAAAUAACCUUUAGUUUUAACUUAAGCCUAAAAGCUAGCUUAAGUGAUGAGGAUUAUCCAAAGAUGAUAUAAGGAGACUAAAUCCCGAACAUGUAACCGAUGUGAGAUUAUAGCACUAACAAAUAAAAUUACAAAGAACGUGAGGAACAACCAAAAGCAACCCAGAGAAGUUUGUUAUUUAGCAUCACUAACAACCAGUUUCAUGUAUUAACUACAUAAGAUAUUCAAUAAACUACUUUGCGUUUCCUGGAAGAUAGCUACCACGAGUUCCCAGCAGCAUUUUCCUUUUGAGCUAUUAAACAGUAUUGAAAACCAGCAUUAGAGGAUAGCUAAUGGUAAUAAACAAAGUAGAUGUUUUAAUCAUCUCCUUAAGAAACAGGCAGCCAAUGUUGGUGUGAGAGAGAAAAAAGGGAAAAUAGAAAAACAAAAGGUUACCAUCAUAUGUUGGAAAAAUAGAAAGUCCAUAAGGUAACAAGCAUAUAUUCAGAGAAGUAGCAUGUAAAAAAAGAUUAUUCAGUAAAUAACCCAUAUCCUACAUGCAUAAGACUAGAAACUAAAAUCAAUGAAGUACCUAAGUAGGCUAGUUUCCCGUCAUAUGUACGAAGAAGGUUUCCAGGAUGUGGAUCUGCAUGAUAGAAUCCAUACUCUAGAAGUUGAUUGAAUGAGCAAUAAACCCCUACCUGUAAACAUCAAUUUCACUUUAGAGCAUGGUUCAAAGAGGAAAAACACACAAACAUUGAGGAAAAUGAGUUUCACGACUUAACCUCAACCAAAUAAAGAUCCUUGACCCCAGCCAGCUUUUGCCCCUAGCCAAGAGAAAGGUGUAGUAACAUGAGCAAGAUGUCUAAGCUUCAUAACAUUAGGAGACAACAUACACCAGUUUAUAAAAUAUUCCACCUCAUUGGAACUAAAAAGAAAAUUCUUGACACUCUCCACAUUGCUGAGUUAAUACAUAAAUCAGUGAGCCUAAUGAGAACAUGUUACUUCUAGGAUCUACUGUAUUUAAAUCUGAAAUGUCCCAAUAUAACGAAACCAUUAAUGACAAAGAGGAAAUUCUUCAAGGAAAAGACAAGAUUCUCAAACGUUUGAUCAACGCAACAUCAGUGUAAUCUAAACCUCUUUGGAUGUAACUAUAUAAUCUUUCCUGGUUGCUUGUCUCCUCCUAGAUGGUAGGUAAUGUGCAACAAUUAGUGAAUAUGUUAAUCUAGAGAAACUCUCCAUCAAGUAACCUUUUUCUACAUACACAGGGAAUGAAUGUCAAGGACUGUCCGAAAGCCAACAGGAACCACAAAAAGACAUGUUUUAAUCGGAAGAGCAAGGAUAAGAAAGAGACCAACUGUUCUCAAAUUCAUUGACCUUCAGUAAGAAAAUCUCCAGAUAUCAUUUUUGUUUUAAUUCAGAAUUUUAACUUAUCCUGUCUUUAUUGACUUAGAUAUCUAUGUGGAAGAACACUAGCUGAAAGAUAAUAGAGCGUCUAACAUUACUUGUCACAAACUAACCCAAAAGCUAACAGGAUGUAGGUAUCACUUGACUGAAGCUUUUAGCUCCUGAUAUGGCGUUUUUACCUCUAGCCACUGCAUAAUGAGCACUUUCCGGGUUGUCAGUGCCAAAUUCAUUUCAGGAACCACAACAUCCUGUAUUGAACCAUACAAUUGCCUGCCCAUGUAAUUAUAAAAAGUUUAGGGCAUAUGCAAAUAUAAUGCUAAUAUUUUUCCAUAUGAUCUUAGUAGAUGCAUGAAUGUGCAAUCACAAAUUAAAGAGUAGCAUACAGUCUUAAUAUUUAUGAUGUUAAAUGAAGCAAGCACUAUCAGCUUAGCUGGAAAUUACGAAAUUCUUGUCAUUGUUGGAAAGAUGAGAAUGCUACAAAUUAUGAUAAUCAACUAAAGUAACAUUGUGCAUGGGAACUUUCUACUGGCACAGGCUUUUGAUAGUUGUUGAGCAGCUUACCGUAUUGCAAUAUCCAAUAAGUGGACAUUCAUGAUGGACCUGAUACUAAAUAAUUGUGCAGGUUACAUCAGAUUGAGAUCACAUUCCUUUAUAUGUUCAUAUCAUUAUAUUUGUCAUGUUUUCAAAUACUUCACUGGAGUUUCCCUUUUUCUCAUUUUUUUAACACAUUGGUUCACCUUUUUACAUCUUCUUAUUAACCCCAAAGUAGCGCACACUGGCAUUUGCAAGAAGAGUGAACGCGUUUACUCUUGGUCUUGAUGCAUCAGAAAACCAAACAAAGGAAAUCAGUAAGCAAGCUUUGUCGAUGGAGUUUCUUAAGUUCCUAUGUAUCUCUCUCCAUUCUACAAAAGUUUCCCAGUUUGAUAUUGUUUAUUGGCUCAUUAAGAACAUACGAAGAAAUACUUCUAUCCCUACGCGCUGCUUAAUUAUCUCAUCAACCAAAAAAAAACUUUCUUUUCUUUUUGGCUUUUUCCCAUCAACUUUGAAGAAGGGUAAGGGUCAAAAUGCUAAUCCAUAAUAAUGAAUAAGAUGCAUAAACAAAAUGUCUAUUACAUCUUACUGUUGUAAGAAAGGUUUCUUUUUACAUUAAUUUAAUAGAAGGCUUGAAAUUGAAAAUUAUUAGACUAGUAUUUCAGCAGAAGGGUCAUAGACUACAGAGCUUUGACAAGAACGUAUAAGAUCAACAGAAGUAACUGCAAUAGGUAAUCCAGUACAGAAUGCUACAAAUUAGCCCCGGUUUCAUAAGAAAGAAAAAAAGAUUUUACACAUUUAGGAUAUUUAACUCAUGAUAAAAACUAAUUGAAUUUCAUAAAGUUCAAAACCCACUGGAAAAUUCUGUAAAAGACCUUGGAGGUGAAUCAAUUAUCUUGUGGUUAACCACAAAAAUAGUGUGAUUAAUCUCUCAUCAGUCAGAUUCUUAAAGGUGCUAACUCACUCAUCAUGUUCUAAGUGAGAUUGGAUUAAAGGUAUGCAGGUUUCAGAUAUCUUAUAGAGGACACAGUCAAACAGGUAAAUCAUUUUACCGAAAUUUGACUCCAUUCCGUGCUUCUUGUUUGUAGUCCAUCUCCUGCAUUCAAUUUGACCACCUGUAUUCAAUAUAAAGUACUAAGAAUAUUCCUCCUUAUUAUUAGAAGUAGUUAUUGCUAAUUUUGAUUUAUAUAUAUAUAUAUAUAUAUAUGAUAUAUGAGGAUGUUCAGUUAAAAUGAAAGAUCAAGACAAAAAGAAAGGGUCAAACUACCAGACUAGUACUAAUCAAAGAUUUUCUGGUUUUCCAUAGAGGUAUCUGAAAUGUUCAUGUAGAAAAGGUAGUUUAAUGUUGACAUGUUAUUCUUUGAUACUAUGAUAUGUUUCCUCUUGAUUAAAUGAAUACAGAAAUCCUA
rnacentral:lncRNA from 1 species